CCUCUUCUUCACCCUCAACAAAAUCGAUAGGUAACCCACAAGUAGUUCAUCGUCAUCUUCCAUUUAGGGCUUUCUCCCCCCUCUCUCUCUUCUCCCCACUGUAAGAAUUUCAAAGGUAUGUCCAUAACUAAUUUCUUUUAUGGUGCUUGGUAAAAAGUUUCUUCAAUUCUUUCUCUUUUGCUUGUUUGGAUUUUCGAUUUGAAGUCAAUUUUGUUCAAAACUUGAAAUUUGAAUUUCUGAUUUGAGUUCAAUUUCGCUUAAAAAUUGAAAAUUGGGUAGUUUGGCGGAAUGACUUGUUUGACGGAAAUGCUUUGAGUAGUUUGACGGAAUGACUUAUUUGUAGGAAAUGCUAUGAAAUGCUUUGAGUAGUUUGACAGAAUGGCUUGUUUUCUACUUAAUUGUACAACUUGAAACCGAGAAUCAUGACUCUCUUCUAGUACUGCAAAGGUCCCGGCAAGCUUAGUGCAUAAAACUUCAUGUCAAACAAAAUGGCAUUACUAAAUUGUAUCAGUUGCCCCUUUAGGAUCAUUCGGAUCAAUAAGGCCAUUUUGAAUGCAUUCUUGAUUCAUCCAUUUUUUGUUUUUCCUAACUGCUAAAAAUUGUAUACUUUUUGGUGAUUUAAAUUUUGAACUUAACUUACUUUAUUUUGAGCCCGGGGUCUAUCGGAAACAACCUCUUUAUUUCAUAUUUGAGGUAGUGGAAUGAACUGCAUACACUUAUCCUCCCAAUACCCUACUUUGUGAGAUUAUACCAGGUAUGUUGUUGUUGUUGUUGUAUAUAGUAAACGAAAUGUAACGAAAUUACAUUGGUCAAUACAACAGAUGGGUUUGACUAACCAAGAUGAAGAUGAUGCAAUAAUUGGAGCUGCAGCUACAUCUGUUUUAGCUGCCGGAGUUGCAAUAAUUAUUGCCUACGAACAAGAAACUAGCAUUCCUAGAGAACAAUAUGUUAAUAAAGAUCAAGAAAGAGAAUUUUACAUGAAUAGUAUUUUGAAUGAAAGUGAUGUUCGUUGGGUAGGUCAGCUAAGAAUGAGUAAGUAUGCGUUUUAUGAACUAUGCAAUGCUCUUAGAAGGAAUAGUUUCUUGUGUUCAACCAAAAAUAUGACUGUUCAAGAACAAGUGUUGAUAUUUUUAGAGAUUGUUGGUUUUAAUGAACGAUUUCGAAAGAUUGGAUCACACUUUUAUAGGGCAAUCGAGUCUAUUCAUCGAUGCUUCCACACUGUGCUUCAAGCAGUUUUGAAGCUCUAUCCAAUUCUUAUAAAAUCACCGGAUGGAACCAUCCAAUCGGAGAUAAUGAACAACCAUCGAUAUUAUCCCUGAUUUACCGUAAGUGACAUACUAAAAUUUUAUAUUUUAAGUCAUUUUAUUAAAAAUACUACAUAUUAUUAACUCAAGUUGUAUAUAGGAUUGUGUAGGAGCAAUAGAUGGAACACAUGUGCUUGCAUCUGUUCCUAUUGAACAACAAAAUAGAUUUUGUGGUCAAAAAGGCACAACAACACAAAAUGUAUUAGUUGCCAUUAACUUUAAUUUAAAGUUCACGUAUGUGCUUGCGGGUUGGGAAGGAUCUGCACAUGAUUCUCGCAUAUUAAAUGAUGCAUUAGAGAGACCACAUGGUCUCCAAAUCCCACAGGGUAUCUUAUUCAAUAUAAAGUAGUUUAUAUGAAAAGUAGGUGAAUAAUGUAUAUUAAUUAACUUUAGUUUGACUUUGUAGAUAAAUACUAUCUUGUAGAUGCGGGAUAUGAACUUCGUAAAGGGUUUAUUCCUCCCUAUCAUGGAAUACGCUAUCACUUGAAAGAGUAUAGUGAUUGUCCUCCCCAAAAUGAAAAAGAACUAUUCAAUCGUCUUCAUGCAUCAUUGAGAUCCUCGAUUGAACGUGCCUUUGCUAUUCUAAAGAGAGGAUUUCGUGAUUGACAAUGAACCUUUUUGGGACUUUAAGACACAAGUGAAUGUGGUAUUAACGUCGUGCAUUUUACAUAAUCACAUAGUUGAUUUGGAGCCAAAUGACAUGAUAAUACAAGAAGUAGAUGUUGAAGCAGUAAUUCAACCUCAAAAUGUUCAAAUUACUCAAAAUUCUCAAGGAAGUCAAAGCUAUCAAACACAAAGAGAAAGACGUGAAGAAGCUAGACAAUGGUCAUAAAAAAAUGCAAUUGCUCAUGCCAUGUUUAUAAAUUAUGAUAGGCGGAGGAACGAGGGACUUUAGUAUAUUAAGAAACUUUGAUAGCUAAAUAGCUAUUGCUGCUUAUUUUGGCUUUUGAUAUUUUCUUAUUUCUUCGUGUUGUUGUAGUAAUUGGGCAGAUCCUGUAUGAAAGAAAUACUUCUAUGGCUCAUUACUGUUUUUCUAUUAUCUUUGAAUGUUAUUUUUACUGCUCGCUUUCUAUGGUAUACGUAGAUUUUAUAUGUUUCUGCUAAUUUACAUUUGUGUUCUGUUGAGUAUGAAUUGUUCACGUCGUUUCUUGACUUGUAACAGUAAAUCAUGGGGGGGGAAAGGAGAGAAACAGUUUAGGUGGUCAAAAUCAAUGAAAUAUUUGAUGUUGGAGAUUCUAGCUGAUGAAGUAAAGCAAGGGAAUAAAUCAACGAAUCAAUUUAAAGCCAGCUCGUUUAAUCAUGUUUCAAAUGCCAUUAAUGAACAACUAGGAAUGGAUUGUUCAUCUAAGCAUGUGGAGAAUCAUCUUAAAACAAUAAGAAACACUUGGAGUACAAUCCAAACUCUACUAAAUAAAAGUGGUCUUGGAUGGGAUGACAACUUAAAGAUGAUUACGGCCAGUCCCGAAGUCUAUGCUAUCCAUAUUUAGGUAAAAUGUGGCUUAUUUUCUUGUUUUCUUAUUUCUUUUAGUUUGUAGUGGUUUCUUUUCUAAAAUUCUGUCCAGUUGUUGAUUUUUUGCUUAAGAAUAAAUUUGAAAGUUUGUCUUAUUAAAGCCAUAAUGCCUACAACAUCCAAGUUUGCCGGUUACUUUCACAAUGCAGUAGUAGAUGAUUUGUAUCUCUACUGAUCUUUCACAUAUAAAAUAUCUAUACAUAUCAAAAACCACAUUUUCGCAACUAUCAUGGGUUAAACAACAUCCCUUGCAGUAUGCAACCUUAGUAGGUGCAUAUGUUUUCCACCUUAGGGAGAAAACAACCUUACUAGCUAGAAUACAUUAGUAUUGACUUUCAUAUAAACAUGGCUUUAAAGUUGUUGGGUGCAUUAAUAUCUUUUUGAUUAUUAGUAGUGCGGUUGUAGAAGAAAAAGUACAUGAAAUAUGGUAUAGAAUGUGGAAUAUAUAUGACCAUGGUGUAUGGUGUUAGGGCUAACUUGCGUGUGAUUUGAGUAACCACACAGGGUACCUGCUAAUUCUACAGUGACCUAGUGUUUUUACCAGAAGCGUUUUGGUUCAAUGAUGAUAGUUUGAUGUAUCCAAUCUGAGGAGCAUCAUCUCCUCCAGUGGGUAGCUUGCAGAUUCUUGAUUUUAUAAGAUUCAGAAAAACUUUCUCCCGUCUGAAAGCCGGAAGAUUAUUGGUAUUUGCUAAGACUAUACAAUAAUUAUUUAUUCACUUGAAGAAAAUCUAAGAAAAAAGGCAUGCGGUGAAACUUAUUCACAACAAUACAAAGUAUAGAAAACUUAAAUAAUAGACAGAUGAAUUAAUAGCUUCUUCUCUAAAAACAUAUAACAAGUUUAUGAAGAUUGUAGAAAAAUUUAGAAGAGUUCAACAAUAUGAACAUGCAUCAAUGAUAGCUGCGUUGUCUCGGACCUAUGGAGUACUGUUAGUUUCACACCACUUGCUUCAGGUCCUCUGUAUAUCAACAAAAACAAUACAUUAUAAGGUUAUUUGUGUUUAAUUUUGAUUUUUUAAUUAAAAUUAAGUAAAAAAAAAAGAAGCUUUGCGUGUUAUUAACUGGUGAUGCUUCUGUUUGUCGUCGUGAAGUUUUGAUUGUGUUCGAUUGCUGAUAAAAUUUUAGUGCAAAUUUUUUAAUUCAACUUUUUAUUUGUCUAUUCCGAAGCAAUUUAAGUGUUUUUCUGCAUUUUUCGCUGCAUCUUGUUCAUCAAUGUAUGUCUUCAAGUUUUUUUUUUUGCCUGUUUUUGUUGUUUAUUAAGGUGAUGAUUCUUUUUGUUUUGAAAAUCUGAUCAUGUUCGAUUGCUGACAAAAUGCUAGUGCAAAGCUUUGAUCUUUGUGUUGAAAACUUGAAUUUUAGUGUGUUUUAUAAGUUCUUGGGAAGUCCUUUAGUGAUAUCCAUGAAACUCAAAUAUACAAAAUAGAUUCAUUUGGCCGCUGCAAACAAUGAUAUAAAAAACUUGAGCUACAAAUAGAGUCGCUAGUAGAAACAGUCUACAAACUUAUUGAUAUUAGGAACUUAGAAUCAGAAAAUAUUUUGAGAUAUUAACCUACUGCUGCAAACUUAUUAGCCACAUGAUUCUCCUUAAUUUUUGGCUUAGUUGACUAAUAUAAAAACAUAUAUAAAUGAGAUCUAAAUGUGGGGUGUGACCUCUUCCAUUAGAGUUUAAUAAUUACUUUAUUAAAUUGGUAACUUUUACCAAACAGACCUAUAAAUAGUAAUAUUUUUAUUUUUGAUGAUGAUGAGUCAAAAUUUGUGUGCUAAAAGGUAAAAGGAAACCAACCUAUUAAAAUCAUAGGUAGAGAUGAAAGGUAUAUCAAUUAAUGAGAUGUUCAAGGUAUUUGGCUCACAUUUAUCAAACGGCAUAUUGAAAAUGAUUGUGGAAUCCUUUUUAUCAAAGUUGCUGAACCAUAAUGGAAAAGUGUUUUAUGAAGUUACUGGUAUGAUAGAAGAGGUAAAAUACUUCUGUUUCAAUGUUUCUCCCUCAUUAUCAGAAGUAAUAUUGUUUCUCCCAGAAUAACACUUAGAACAUAACACUAGUUAUUGUACUUGUAACGGUCUGUUUAUUUUACAUUAACCUAUUAGAACUGAAUAAAUUUGACACCAAAUUUUCUCUAAUCUUUGCAUUGUAGGCAUAUCCCAAUCAUAACAAGUUCAUCAACAAAAAAAUUGAAAUGUUUGACGAAAUGUCUCUUGUGUGUGGAAAUGAUCGGGUUAGGGGAGAUUGUGCUAAAUCGUUUGAAGAUAUAGAUUUUGAUAGUUUUUCUGAGAAAGAUAAUGAUAAUGACCUUGAAGGACCAUCCAUCGAAAAGGAUGUGCAAGUAACCGAAGCUUCUCAAAUCAAGGCAAGUCGCAAAAGAAAACGUUCUUUUGAGGUGCAAGAUGUUGUAGGUGAUAUAUCAAUAAAGUUUGGAGAAGUGGCAACGACAAUCGGUAGAAUGGUUGAUAGUCGUCUAGAUGUGGCGAAGUUGUAUGAAGAAGUUAUGGCAAUGGAAGGUUAUAAUGAAGAGUUCCUCGGCGAUGCUUUUGAUUAUUUGGUGCAAAGCGACACUUUAGCUAAGGCAUUCGUGGUCAAAAAUCAAAAUCUUCAUAAGGUGUGGUUGGAACGAUUCAAGCAACAACAAUGGUGACACCUAUUGGUUAGUUUAGCUUCGUAGGAUUUGGAAACAACUAUUAUUCACACGCUUUUAUUUUUGAUGAUGUAUCGUGUAUUUGCUUCCAAACUUCUAUUUUUUCUUUCAUUUUUAAUAACGUAUCUCGUGUAUUUGCUUCCAAACUUCUCUCUUUUGUGUAUUUGUGGGAAUUGAUUAGGAAGCAUGAAUUAUGUAAGUAAUAGUUGCUUAAUUUUUAGCAUCUUGUAAUAUUUUGAUUCUUGAUAUUUGUAUUAUUUGCUAUGGUUAAAUUAGUUCCGACAGAAUAUUGAGUUGCUUGAUAUACUAGUUCAUUAUUUAGUAGUAUUUUUCAAAAAAUAUGUUUUCCUCUCACCAAUCAAACAACUAAAAAUAUUUUUUAAAAAAAAUAUUUUCUGUUCACCAACUAAACACCAUUAAAAUAUUUUUCAAAAAAUAUUUUUCAUUCACCAAUCAAACAUAAAAAAAAAUAUAUAGAAAAUUAACUUAUUUUCCAUAAAAACAUUUUCCAUCGUACCAAACCCACCCUUUGUCUUGUAGCUACACUGAGCUCAAUGUAAAAAAAGGAUAAUUGGCAUUUGUUCUGCUUUUAUCAAUGAAAAAACCCUAAUGACCCCCUUCACUAUUUUCUACUGAAAAAAACUCUUCUAUUCGGAAAAAGUAGGGUUUUCACAGUCUUCUCGAGCGAAAAUCUUCCGUCUGCUAGUACUAAUUUUUCACUGGUAAGUUUUUCCUUUUAAUUAGUUAUGUAUUUGAUUUAUUAUUUGCAAAUUUUGGUAGAAGAAAAAGUUGAAAAAACACUUGGACCGGGUAAGUUUUUCCUUUUAAUUAGUUAAGUAUUUAAUUUAUUAUUUGCAAAUUUUGGUAGAAGAAAAAGUUGAAAAAACACUUGCACCGGUAAGUUUUUCCUUUUAAUUAAUUAAGUAUUUGAUUUAUUGUUUGCAAAUUUUGGUGGAAGAAAAAGUUGAAAAACACUUGCACUGGUAAGUUUUUCCUUUUAAUUAAUUAAGUAUUUGAUUUAUUAUUUUCAAAUUUUGACAGAAGAAAAAGUUGAAAAAACACUAGGUGAUUUCUUCCCGUCUAUUUUAGCCUUGUUAGAUGGAGUUACCUAGUACCUUUUAUCUGUUGUUAGUGGAGUUGGCAGGUGUCCUGUGGAAUUAGUUGAGGUGCGCGCACAAGCUGGCCUGGACACCGCGAUUAUCAAAAGAAAAUUUGGUAUAUGAGGUCGCAGGUUCAAAUCUCAGUAGAAACGAAAAAUAAUAGUUGAUUCUUCCCAUUUGUCCUAGCUUUGGGGGAUAGAGUUACCUGUUGCUGGUGGGUUGCUGGGUUGCUGGUGGGAGGUGGCUGUUAUCUCGUGGAAUUAGUUGAAGUGUGCACAAGCUGUCCUGGACACCACAGUUAUCAAAAAAAUUGGUAUGUGAGGUCUUAAGUUCAAGUCCGAGUAGACCCUAAAAUAUUAAUUCUUCCAAUUGUCCUAGCUUUUGUGGACAAAGUUAUUUGGUACUUGCUGCUAGUGGGAGAUGGCUGGUAUCCUGCGGAAUUAGUUGAGGUGCAUGUAAGCUGUCUCGGACAUCACGGUUAUCAAAAAAAUUGGUAUCUGGGGUCUCAAGUUCAAAUCGCAUCGCAGUAGACACAAAAAAUACUAGUUGAUUCUUCCUAUUUGUCCUAGCUUUGAUGGACUGAGUUACCUGGUGUUUGUACUUGUUGCUGGUGGGAGGUGACUAGUGUCCUGUGGAAUUAGUUGAGGUGUGCGUAAGUUGGCCCAGACAUCAUGGUUAUAAAAAAAAAAUGGAUUUGGGUGCUGGGUGGGCUCAUGGGAGCAAUAAUUUUUUUUCUUGUUAGUUUGAAGUCUUGUAAUUGGGUUUAAAGAGAUUGAGGGCUGACAUUUUCAACUUCCAUUAGUAAAGGUACUGCUUUCUUGGCAUUUUGUUAUUAGUGAAACAGGGUCUUCUGUUUUAAAUAUUUUUUAGCUCUAUUUUGAUCCUGUUAGAUACUUCCUUUUUGAGUCGAGAGUCAAGACUCUACGUUACAAAAGGUAGAGGUGUAAGGGCUGUGUACUUGUGGGGUUACACUGGGUAUGCUGUUUUAUUCUUUGUUGUUUAGCUCUAUUCUUGUCCUGCUGGGUACUUCCCUAUUGAGUCGAGAGUCAGCGUUACAAAAGGUAGAGUUAAGGGCUGCAUACUUGUGGGAUUACUCUGCGUAUGGUGUUAUGUUUUUGGUUGUUUAGCUCUAUUCUUGUCCUGUUGAUACUUCCCUUUUGAGCUGAGGGUCUUUCCGAAACAACCUCUCUACCUUACAAAAGUUAGGGGUAGGUUAUGCUUAUAUUCUACCCUACCCAGACCCCACUUGUGGGACUGGUGUGUUGUUGUAUUCUUAAUUGUUUAUCUCUAUUUUCUAAUUGAUUUAACUCCCACCACCGGAUAGUCCUUUUUUUCAGAAAGAUGGUUGUGUGUUAUGUUGGAUUUCAUUUCUUGAGUGUAUUUGUUCAGUAAAUAUCAAUAUUAAUUGACUGAUUGAAGAUUAUAAUGCUUUUUCUUUCUCCUUAUUACUAGAUAUUUGGUUCCAACCUAUGUAGGCGCAAGAAAAACGCACGGUAGAUUGAUAGAUAUUUCAUAUGUGCACUCUGUGCAAUUGUGAAUGAGAAGAGUUAAAUAGAACUACGAAGGUAGAAAAAUCCAAAUCAAAGUUGACUAUGGGGAUCACAACAUAAGAUACAACAACAACAACAACAACAACAUGCCCAGUGUAUUCCUUAAGAUCACAAGAUAAGAUAAUCUUGUAAAAUGCUGGAUGAUUAACAUAAAACUACAUAUAACAAAUAAGUCACAGUAGAAAAUGAUAAAAAGAAAAAUAAAGCAAUUAACAUGUCAAAUAAGACUGAACCUUAUUACUCAGUACUCCCACUGCUCCACAUUGUUUGCCAUGGAGUACCUAAAUUGUCUGUAUGAAGUAGGACAUAGACUCUUCAAGUUUUUUUAAAAUAAAUUUUGUAUUUAGAAACUACAUAAAAUGUAUCAUAAGUCAAAAUAGUUAAUAAUUCAAAAUAAUUAAGAGAAACACGGUCUUAGAAGGACCUUGUUGACUCUCCAAAUAGUAAAUGUACAAAACAAAUUGGAAUGGAGGGAGUAUCUUCUAUAUAUUUUUCGUAUUGUUCGGUUCACAUACAUUGCGUUCAAUGUUUGCUAGGUGUCUUUUGUCCUUGUCGAAAAAAUAAAUUCUUUGCAAGCAUAUUGGUAUUAUCUAUGGAUGUCAAUCUUAGGUUUCAUGAGACAAGGUGGUGGUCCUCCUUUUGUGUUAGAAUGGAAAAACAAAUGUGUGAAUUUAAGCAGUGGUUGAUUGAGUAUCACCAUCUGAAUGGAUAAAUAUAGGGCGUUGAAAUAUUAGGAAGACUGAAGACGGAGAAUAUACAUGGCCAACAUUGUCCGACAUGAAAUUGUGGCUAUACAGAGGAGUCAAAACCAGAUAUCUGAAGGUUGUUGUAUUUACAGGUUUUGCAAUCUUUCGCCUUAGCACCUGCUUGAUGGUGCUGAGCCUUUUUUGGAUAUGAAAUACAAGUUACCCUCUUAAAAAAAAAAAAGGUUUUGCAAUCUGAAAGAUGGUGUUAAGAAUUUGUUGAUUAGGCUAAUUUCUAACUGAUAAUUCUAAGAUGUGAGUGAUGGUACGUAGAUAGUGAUUGAGAUAUAUAAUCUCCAACUAGCUUAUGGUUUGUCAACAAUCAUCUGUAUAGUGUUUGGCAAGUUUGUGUGUUCACAUUAUUAAUAGUAUUUGAGGUUAUAGCAUUGUUCAAGAAUCAAAUAUUUUGGUACGAUUGGUAUAGGUUUGUGGCCCUUGAGAUAUAUGAGCUAGUGUGUCUAAUUGCGUAUGAGCUUAUCAAAUGUGAAAUUUACGAAAAGUACUUUUAAGGGAUUAAGACAUGUAAGAAAGAGUACAUAAUUGUUAUUCUUUAAUGAAUUGUAGCAGGCAUUGUGCUUAUCUAAUGUAACUCUAUGAAAAGAAUUCUUAAUCGGACUGAGACAUAUUCUAAAGAGUACACCAGCAUUGUCGUCAAAUGUAUUGCGGCUUCCAUUGUGGAAGUGGAAGUGCAUGAUAGAGAAAUGCCUAGCACAAAUUUGUGGAAGUUGAACUGAUGAAUAGCAAAAGAGUUUUUCAUGGACCAUCCAUUGUGAUAGAUAGAUUCUUGAUAAGUUUUGGUUGUGUGGUUGAUAUUUGGGAGGGAUAGUAAUUUAUAGUCGAUCUGGUACAAGGAGGGGAACUAAAAAUUACAACUCUAAAAUCUUUUUGAGAAAUUGCUAAAUAGCCAAAGUUUUUCUCUAUUGGCUGCAUGAUGCAUUUUUUACAAAUACUGGGGUGCAUGGUUUGAGGAAAAAGGGAUCUAGAGUGGCUAUGUUGGAAUCCAUCUUCAUUUGUGAUGCAGGAAAACUUUCCAGCAUCCAUGGAUUUAUGGAUAUGGACUUGGCUUGGCCAAUCUAGAGGACAUGUUGAUAUGAAGAUAGUUGUGCUCUUUAGCAGCUAAAUGUUUUGGAGCUUUGUAAAUGAAGAGAUAUUUUGUUUUUGCACCUGAUUCAUAGGAAAUAGAACAUAAUGACGCCAAGGGAAGUUGCAUUUUCACAUUAUAUAUGGCAUGCAGACCAUCUCUUGCAUUUAAAAAUUUGCGAGGAGGAGGUGACAAUGAUGAGGUGGUGUUCAUGUGCAACGAGUAUGAGGAAGAUCAGAACCGUAUUCUGUUGCAUGUAGAGUUGCCUUAAAUCAAUUCUGUCUAGCAUUUUUGUUAUCUAGAAUAGGGGCAGAUCUAGGGCCAUAAGCAAUUACAGAGCUGGAAGAACAAAAGGCCGGCAAGGUGAGGAAGUAAGCAUCGGGUCACUGAAUUGCCUUUCAAAUACCAGGGAAAGAUAUAAGUUUAAGAUUGUAAUUUUGGGUUAAAGAGAGUAUACUUUUUUCUAUUAAGAGUUGUAAGGACAACAUAGUUGAAUGUUUCACAGCAGUGGACUAUAUUCUAUUAGGUCCCUUUUGUCCAUUUGUUGUUUUUCUUUGUUUGCAAUUACUGAAGUUCAGUAUUUGCAAAUAAUGGGUUGGCCUGUUGUUAUUUGAAAUCUUGGUAAAAUAUUGAAGAACUUUGUUGAAGAGUUUUUUCAACUGAAAAUAAUGUCUUCGACUAACUGUUUAACUUCUAUUCCAAGGAAAUUCAUAUCCAAACACAGCUUCAACUUUCAAAUACUCUUGUCCAACUUCAACAUCCUAUACUUUUUUCAAUUUCAACCAGAUAUUGUCCAAAUGCCUAUUAAGUUGUUUUAACACCUGCUUGAUUGUGAUAUGUGAAUGUAUUUUGAUUUAAAAACAACACUGCAUAAAGGAAGUGAGUGGUAUGGUCUGCGUACACUUUACCCUCCCCAGACCCCACUAUGUGGGAAUACACUGGGUAUGUUGUUGUUGUUACUGCAUGAAGGAAGUUUUGUCCUUUAGCAAUAUGCAUUUAUUUGAGACCUGUCAUGUAUAGUUUAUAUUUUGAUAGAGGUGAGACUGUACUCAUCUUUGCUAAAGGAAAAAAAAGUAAAGAUCUGCAUAGCAAUAUUUUGUCUUUUCUAGAAUUUGAGCUCCAUUUAUAUCUCUUAUAUCUAUCUGACUUUCAGAUUUGUCAAAGUGUUUUUCAGUUGGCGUCUAAGAUGUCGGAUUACCCUGUGCUUGAUAAUCUUCCCAUUAAUAAAUGGAAGGUAGCAGAAUUAAGGGAAGAGCUUAAGAGGAGGAACUUAACAACAAAAGGUCUAAAGGAUGAGCUGGUUAGGCGAUUAAAUGAAGCUAUAUGCAAAGAAAUGGAAGUUGCUGAAUUUAAAGAGCAUAAGGAUGAUGAUCGUGACAUUGAUCCUGCCAGUGGUGUUGAAGAUACUGAACCAGAGCCUGAUCCUGUUAAAUUAGCCGAUGAUGUUCUGGAGCAUCCCCAGGAUGAAUUUGAUGAUAUUAAUGGUGAUGUUGCUAGGGCCAGCACCAAGAUUUGUCUUGUUGAAAUAGACCAGAACAAAGUUUCUGAUGAGGUUGCAACUGGAGGUACUGGUGAUGCUUCUGGAGAAAGAAAAAAUUCAGAGGCUCCUGUUGGUAACACUAGUGUUAUAAAUGAUAUUAAGUCUACUGAUCAAUUUGUUGAAGACAAAACCGAUAUGGAACAAGAGGUUUUUGAUUCUUCUCAGAAUAAUGAUGUUGUCGAUAGGGUAUCUGGAAUUAAGGAUGUUGGUAUUCAGGACAGUAGCACUGGACAGGAUGCUGUGGAUAUGAAAGACUCAUCUUCUGGGGGAGUGCUUGAGAACAAUCUUUGGAGACAAGAAAAUGAUGUGGAGGUAACCCCAGUAACAUCCAAGGAAGCCUUGGAAAACAGUAACAUUAAGUUGGAGAAUGAGGGCCUGAAACUCUCAGGCAUGGAUGCUGAGUCUGAUAUGUCCAAUCCAGGCACUCAGGUAUACGAGGUCAACCCUGAUUUAGGGUCUCAAAUAAAAUCUGACUCAUUUUCUACCAUUAAUGAAAAUAAAAAUUUAAAUGAUAAUUUGAAUGCUGAUAAUGUUAAAUUAGUAACUGAAGUUGUUAGGCAAGAGAUGGAGCUGCAGUCAUCCAGCAAAGACCUGUCAGAUGUUGGUGGCAUUCAUCCAUUGGAUGAUCAGACGCCACAUGAGAUGCAUGGUCUUGUUGGAGAAACUGAUAAUGACAGAUCUUCAGAGGUGAAAUUUAGCAUGAAACAUGCCAAUGCAGAUCAGGUUUCUGUUGCUGCAACCAUGGUAGAGCAUGGGUUGGAAAGUAACACUUCGUAUAACAGUGAGCAAAAAGAUGUACAGUUUAAAAAAGCUAGAACUUUAGGUGAUGUUAUAGAUCCUGGUUCGUCAUCCAAGAAAAUCGAGACAUCUGCUGAAGAUAAACAUUGUAUUGCUGCUUCCAUUGAUGAUAGAAAAGGUAUGGAUGGAGACACUCCCUUACAGUAAAUAUUACUGUUCUUUUCCUUCCUAAGGCUGGUUCUUCUAGAUCUGUUGUGUGUUGUGUCUGUGCAUGCAGUUUUGAGCAAGAUAUCUGAUGUUGUGGAUGGUGAGAAUAUGGAAAAGAUAAAAUUGGAUCAAUCUUCAGCUGACGAUUCAAUGGAGGAGGAUGUAGUAGAGACAAAGCAUGUGGAUUUUGAUCAUAUUUUUAAGGAGGGGAAUGAUAAGGCUGAAGAGCGUAUUACGGGAAUGACGGAAGAGCCCAAAGUUCUACGGAAUGGUUCUUCUGAUGCAAUGCAGCUAGACAAUCCUUCUGAGAAGGUUGAGUCUCCUCAAGAAACUAAAGAUAGGUUUCCUGUAUUGUCAGAGAAGAGAAAGUUUCAAGGUACUCACAUCUUCUCUUUAGUUCUCUCUCGUCCCCUCCCUCAUUUCUUGAAACUCUCUCUCUUUUACCUCCUGUUAUUCACAUGUUUGUUGAUAGCAUUUUCUUUUACUGUUAGUAUUCUAUAUUAGAGUUUGUUUCUAUGUAUUCUUUUAAUUGAUCCACCUGGUGAGGAGAUUAGUGGAGCAGUAUAGGGAAAGGAAGAGGGAUUUGCUCAUGGUGUUCAUCGACCUGGAGAAGGCGUAUGACAAAGUCCCUAGGGAGGUUCUUUGGAGAUGCUUGGAGGUGAGAGGGGUCCCGGUGGCGUACAUCAGAGCUAUUAAGGACAUGUACGAUGGAGGGAAGACUCGGGUGAGGACGGCGGGAGGAGACUCGAAGCAUUUUCCGGUUGAGACAGGGUUGCAUUAGGGAUCGACUCUCAGUCCUUUCCUGUUUGCGUUGGUAAUGGACGUGUUGACGCGGAGUAUCCAAGGUGUGGUGCCUUGGUGUAUGUUAUUUGCGGAUGAUGUAGUGCUGAUCGAUGAGACGCGGGGCGGUGUGAAUGAAAAAUUGGAGGUUUGGAGGCAAACCCUUGAAUCUAAGAGUUCAGGGUGAGUUGAUCCAAGACGGAGUAUAUGGAAUGCAAGUUUAGUGACUUGAGGCAAGAGGAUGAUGUGGUGGUGAGGUUGGACUCCCAGGGUGUUUGUAAGAGGGAUAGUUUUAAGUAUCUUGGAUCUAUGAUUCAGGGGAAUGGCGAGAUUAUUGGAGCAGGAUGGAUGAAGUGGAGGCUCGUCUCCGGAGUGUUGUGUGAUGAGAAGGUGCCCCUUAAACUUAAAAGACAAAUUCUACAAAGUGGCAGUCCGUCCGACCAUGCUGUAUGGAGCGGAGUGUUGGCCAGUCAAGAACUCCCACAUCCAAAAAUUGAAGGUGGCGGAAAUAAGAAUGCUGCGUUGGAUGUGUGGACUUACUAGAGGGGAUCGAGUUAGGAAUGAGAUUAUCCGGGAGAAGGUGGGAGUGACUUCGGUGGAGGAUAAGAUGCGGGAAGAUUGAGAUGGUUUGGGCAUGUGAUGAGGAGGGGCACGGAAGCCCCAGUUCGUAGGUGUGAGGCUAGCUUUGGAUGGCUUUAGGAGAAGUAGAGGUAGGCCGAAGAAAUACUGAAGGGAGGUGAUUAGACAUGACAUGGAACAAGUACAAUUUACUGAGGACAUGACUCUAGAUAGGAAGGUGUGGAGGGCGCGGAUAAGGGUAGAAGGCUAGUGUGAGUCUGUGGGUUGUAGCAAGUAGUUCGGUGAUUUUCUUGUUUAGCCGGGUUAGUGUUCUUUGGACUGUGUCCAUAGGUAGGAGUCUCUAGCCAGGAGAGUUUGGGUGUGGUGGGUGUCUUUGGUCUGUGUGUGUUCCUACUUGGUGGGUGUCCUAUUUCUUAGCAUUUUUUAUGAUUUCUAUUUUUGCUAUUUUAUUCCUUAUUCUAUUAUGUCAUCCAUCUUGCUGCUUGUUUCAUUACGACCUUGUUUACUAUUCUUUAUCUUGAGCCGAGGGUCUAUCGGAAACAACCUCUCUGCUUCUUCGGAGGUAGCGGUAUGGACUGCGUGCAUCUUACCCUCUCCAGACCCCACUUUGUGGGAACACACCGGGUUUGUUGUUGUUGUUGUUGAUUUGUUGAAGGUCUAAAUAGUAAAACUUCUGUGUACUUGUUAGAUGUUAAAACCCGGAUUGUAAGUAUGUUGUUUAUUAGUUUGUUUAUUUAUGAAUGCUAGCUCUUCUGAUUGAUCCACAUGUUUUAUGGUGUUAUGAUCAAUAAAUUGCCACACAAUUGCUCAAGAUUCCAUUGUUAAAGUUAUAGCUCACAACUGGUUUGCAGCUAAAGUUGUGCUUAUUAGCGUGUUAGUGUACUGAAAGUUCUAAUACCAACGGCAGAUAUGGGGUUCUUCUUGCAAUGUUUGAUAUGAAGCACUCUUCAGUACAUUCACUCUGGAUAAUUUUAGCAAGUGGGAAUUAACAAAAAUGAUCUACUCUUUUCUUGUAAUAUAAUUUGGUUUCAUAAGAUUUUUGACUUGUUGGUGGACUAUUUGCAGAUGUAGUAGGAGGAGGGAGUAAAGAGCCUGCGAAAAGGCAGCGCAGUCGUAACACUGAGAUUUUGAGGACUGCUGAGCCACAAAAUUCAAGUAUUGCUUUAUCAGAAAACGUAGAGGAGACCGCCCUUAUCAAGCCUGUCCUUGGCAGGACUGACUCUACAGUUAGUGAGGAUGCACCCAAGGAGCGUGUUGGUGAGUAUUUGUUUUCUUGGUAAAUUGCACGAGCUUCAGAUGCAAGCGGCAUAAGAAUAAUUGGUUUCUUUGUUCUGGUAAUAUUCCAGUACCAAAGUCUUCCAAAGCAGCCACUAAUUCUCUCAAAAUCGAGAACUUCGUGCGGCCCUUUACGCUGAAAGCUGUGCAAGAGCUCCUUGCAAGAACUGGUGAAGUCUGCAGUUUCUGGAUGGACCAGAUAAAGACCCAUUGCUACGUCACGGUAGAAUCUUGCUCUCUCCUGCUGCAUUUCAUGCUCCUCUUAGACAAUAGCAAUGACUUUUGCAUGCCUUGGCCUCUUGGCAAUGCUCUCUUGAACUUGUUAGAAAAGUGUCUUUACUUUGCUUCCUUAUUUAGUGCUCGGGUUACUAAAUUGAUGAAUAUUUUCUCUCUACAGUAUUCUUCGGUAGAGGAAGCCAUCGAGACCCGAAAUGCUGUUUACAACCUCCAAUGGCCACCAAAAGGAGGUCGUCUCCUGGUUACAGAUUUUGUUGAUCCCCAACAGGUGCAAACAAGGAUGCAUGGCCGGGAGCCUCCUACUCCAGCAACAAAUCCCAGUCCUUCAGUACCUCCAGCUUCAUCCUCAGUUCAAGCACCACUUGCUCGGCUACAGGGUCGCAAACAACAAGUUGAGUCGGAACAUCCACUCACGCGCCCGCCACCACCUGCUCCUCCUACCGCCCCACCAACAAAAGAGAGGCUGGCUCCACCUGUUGCUGAUAAAAAUGAUCCCCCUGUUAUUACUCUGGAUGACCUAUUCAGAAAGACUAAAGCCGCUCCCCGUAUCUAUUAUUUGCCGCUGACAGAUGAGGAAGUUGCUAAAAAGCUUGCCAGUAGAGGAGAUGCUAAGAACUAGAGCUUUAAGUGAACAAAGGGCCUGUUUGUAGAUGGAUUAUGGAGUGGUGUUUUGAUGUAAUGCUGAUACUAGUUUGCCCUCACAGAAAAGUUGCAGUCGUGAGGCUAGGCUUACUGAGACCUUGCUUUCUUUUCUAUUUUCCUUUCGUUAAUGGUUCCUGCAGGGUUGAAGCCUCUACUGUAUUUUGCUUUUGGGUUGAAGCAACGUAACAAAAUGUGCAGAUUAUGCAGAGUCUUGUGUGAGGGUCUGCCUUCAUGGGGAUCUCUCAACGCUUGGUAGCUGUAAAUGCCAUUUACCACCUCUUCGUUUUCUUCUUCAGUGUAAAAUUUUAAGAAAAGGAAGAGACACAUUGAUCAUGGAACCCAAUUGCUGUUUGAGUUUUCAGGCCUUCUUAAAAUUUUAGCUCAAGAGAUCUUUUUACCAUGUGAAAUAUUAUAUACUCCCAGAACCACCCUCAAAUUUUAAGCCAGUUUGGGCUCGUCUGUAUGUAUGUUUGCCAUCCUUUUUAUUGGACUCGUUUCAUUCAAAUAUUCAAUAUUUAAUUUAACCUGCAGUAAUUAUUGUCAAACCUUAGACAAAAGUACUACUACUUUUCUUCUUGUACGUUAGUUGCUGAAAAAGUUGGUUUCUCAAAGCAGUUUUCGACAAUGGUUUAACUUGGCAAAAUAGCUCGGUGUACCCUUGUAUUUGGUCCGAUUUGUAAACUGGAUACUCCUACUUAUAUGUUUGUCAUUUGGAUCCUUGAACCUAUUAAAAUGUGUGUAACACAAUUGUUGCCACGUCAACUUUCACGCCAGCUUUCACGUCAUUUUAAAGGCUACAUUAAAUUUCAUGUCAUUUUUAAAAUGCCACAUGAGAAAUUAAAUACUCCCUUCGUCCCAAAUUAUGUGUCAUCAUUUCCUUUUUAAUCCGUCCCAAAAUAAGUGUCGCCUUUCCUUAUUUGACAACUUUUUAAAGGCACAAUUACCCUUUUACCUUUAUUGGUUCUACUUAAUUAAAAAAAAAAAAAGAUAUUGACACAUUUUUUGGUAAAGGAUAAUUUGAUAAACUUUACCAAGUCUUCCCUUAUUUCUUAAACUCCGUGCCCGAUCAAAUGGUGACACAUGAAAUGGAACGGAGGGAGUAUUAAAAAAAAGGACAAAAUUGGCCGCUUCUUCCUUUGCCUUCUUCUUCUUCGUAUGAACAAACACACACCAUCAAUUCAUUCCUGUCAUUUCUAUAAUUAACAAUCCAUAAUUGGCCUAACAAUUAAGAUCCAUAAUUGGCAGCAAAAUACGGAUCAAAAUCUAAUUUUUCUUCUCAUAAUUUUUUUUUAACAAUCUAAACAAAAGGAAGCAAGGAAAUCAAAUGUAAAUACAACUUCCAUAUAAUCUUCAAAUCAAGUCUUGCUGCUUCUCUGCAAGCUAACCUUACAUUUCAAGUAACAAAUUGAUUUUAAGAAGGAAUCAAAUUUCACAAAAAACAAUUAGCAAGCAUUAAUCUUUUUUGUCAAUUUCAAAAAAUAAUAAACGAGCUAUUGGUGAGGGUGGGGGUGGGGGUGGAAGGGUUGUACUGGUGCGAAGAAGAAAGGUUCUGGGUGGUUGGGGGUGGAGGGGUUGUAGCCAGCGAAGAAGAAAGAUUACGGGGUUGGGAUUGGGUGGCAAGCAACCUUGGGGCUGUCAUGCUGCGGGGGUGGGAGGCUUUUUAUUUUUAUUUUUAAUUAUUACGAAAUAUUACGAACAGAGCAGGAAAAAAAAUUAAGGAACAAGAAUUUAGAGAGAGAAAAUAGAGAAAAAGGGAGAAAAAAAAGCUCAAAUUGCUUCAACAAUGGUGUUAAAAGCAAAUGAGGAAGGAGGAGUAUGAAAAGGGCAUUUACAAGCCUUUUUAAGACUGUUGGGCCCCUAUUUUUAAUGGCUUACGCGCCGUUGGAGGUUGCAAUGCAUGCUUCUAUGUGGUUCCAGCCUCAUAGGAUGCCAGGUCAGAAAAAGUGUUUAAAAUAUUACUUUUUAAUGGGUUCAAGGGUUCAGAUGACAAACAUGUAAGUAGGAGUAUCCACUUUACAAAUCGAACCAAGUACAAGGAUCCACCGAACUAUUUUUCCAUUUAACUUUACUAAAACUAGGUCUGAUGCUUCAUAUUUCUUCUCUGAUUAAGCUUACACUACAGUAAAGACACAUACGAAAUUUAUGAAUCACUAAGUAAUAGAUAUCAAAGUGGAAAGAACUUUUGCCUCCUCUCUAAGGAACUUUUGGCUCCUUUAUCGUUUCAUCUUCAAAUAUUUAUCUUAUGCAAUGAGCAAACACACACAUAUUUCAUACCCUUAAUAGCUCCCCAUGCAGUCAAUUUAUGUUAAGUUGUAAUCUAAUCAAAGAUUAAAGUGCGAAAACAAAAGAGUCAAAGCUAAAUAGUAAGUAAUAAUUGAACAAGUGAAAGUAUAGAUAAAUAGUCUUUUAGACCAUGAGGUCAUGUGACAAUAGAUAUCUGAAAGUAAAAUUAUAAUUUAAUAAUUAUUCUAGAGUAAAUACAUAAUUACCCCCUGAUCUUGUCCGAGUUUUGUAAAAAAAUACCUAAACUUUCACUUUGAUCUAUUACCCCACGAUUCUUUUUUAUUUCGUUAUAAACAUAACAGGAGAGUGAAAUACACGCGCCAAUCAGAUGUUGCCACGUGUCAAAUACGUAUAAUUUCAUAUAUUUUUAUUUUUUAAUACAAUUUUCCUUUUUAUUUAGUUUAACACCCCACCCCAGCCCCUCUUUCCCCCACCCUCCGUCCAAUUUUUUUCUUUUUGUUCAAAUCAAUUCAAAAAUUAGUUUUAUGAUUGAAUUGAGUUUUAAGGAAAGUUAAAUGAUUGAAUUGAGUUUUGAAGAUAGUUAAAUGAGCUUUAAUGAAGCUUUAAUGGAGGAGCUUUAAAAAAAAGCUUCAAUGAAAAAGCUUUAAUGGUGACAUUGUGUUGAAGAGCUUUAAUAGUGUUGAAGAAGAUAUUGUGUUGAAUAAGAAAUGAUGGGUAGUUAAAUGAUAUGAUUUAAUUGCAAAAUGGAGCUUUAAUGAUAUGAUUUUAAAAAAAAAACUUCAAUGGAGGAGCUUUAAUGGUGGCAUUCUGUUAAAGAAGAAAGGGUGGAGUUAUGGUGAUGAUGAUGAUGUUGUUGUUGUUGUUGUGGGCAUAAUUGAUGUUGUUGUUGUAAUUGAUGUUGUUGAGUGAUGGUGAUGAAAAAGAAGUUGGGGAAGAAGACAAUGGUGGACGGGGGUUGCGGUAGGGUGGGGUAUGAAAUAAUUUUUAAAAAUAAAUAAAUAUUAAUUUUUUAAAAUAUAUAUAUAUAUAUUAUAUAUUAAAUUAUUUUACCUGUGCCAGCGUCAAAUUUGAGCCCUUUCACGUGCAUGUGAAGUGUGUGUACAUGCAGGGGGUCAAAAUGGUGUGUUUGCAACGAAAUAAAGAAGAAUCAUGAGGUAAUAGGUCGAAGUCAAAGUUUAGGUGUCUUUUUGCAAAUCUCGAACAAGAGCAAUGGAUAAUUAUGUAUUUUCUCAUUAUUUUAUAUGGUUAUUGAUUAACCCAUUAAGAAAAAUUCUAAACCAUUAUAAAAUCAAUAAUUUAUUUAAAAAAAAAAAUUAAAUUGUUAUCGGCCCUCAAAUCAAUAAUUCAUUGUCUGAGUAUCAUUUUUUUAUUUAGGUUAUAUCUCAAUUCGAUUUUGAACAAUCCAAUUCAAACAUGCAUUUUUGAAGUUUGGCAUUGCCAAGCCAAACUAAAGACAGAUUCUUGAAAGCUUGGCUGUGGCAAGCCAAUCUUGAUCAAAUUUCAGACACAUAUCUCUAAGUUUUUUAUGGCCCACAUAAUUAAUUUAUUUUGCUUUAAUAAUUAAAUAAGUUAAAUCCUAAAUCUUUUUGGGGAAGUUACCUAGUGGGAUUAAAACUACUAUCUACUAUCCUUGAUCGAGUGUUAGUGGAAUUAAAACUACUACAUCCACAACUCACGUUGAUGGAACGUGAAAAUGUAACUGUUCUAUUUUUCGUAUUAUAAAAGGGUCCUCUCUCUGCCAAAAAAAGAGUAAGUUCCAUCAAAACUAUUCUGAAACGUAAGGUAAAGAAAGAGAAAUAUCACUUUUGUUCUUGGUUUAAGAACAAAAGAAAAUAAGUGCUUCCGCUAAUAUUAGUUAAGAAGAAAAACAAUGAAGAAUUCAGUUAUGUAUUCUUCAAUGAAUUACUGUGAUUUGGUUUAUGUGAAAAUAAUGUAGUUCCACGUUCCUGAACAAUUGAUAGAAUUAUAUAUUAGAUUGUUAAGUUAUACAAUCUGUUAAAUCCUUACAUGUGGUAUCAGAACCAGUUUUUGAAACUAAUGAUUUUCCAUUGCAAUUAAAGUUUUCUAUUAAUUUUAUGAAUCCUAAUUAUGAAAUUUUAGGGAUUUAAAUUUAUCAUUAUUUUAAAAUUUUAGUGAUUGCUUUAUCCGAUCACUUAACAGUAAGUACUGUUAUUUAACUAAAAGUGAAUUCAGUGUUGUUGGCCUAAUGAAUCACAUAAAUAUUCUAUUUUGUUGUUUAAUAUGAAUAAUAAUAUUAAUGUUUGCUGUUAAUGUUUACUGUUACUGUUAUUAGUGUUGUUGGUCUAAUAUUAAUAAUAAUAUUAAUGUUUGUUGUUAUUGUUAUUAGUGUUGUUGGCCUAAUGAACCACAUAAAAUUUAGUACUGUUAAUGUUUAAUAUUAAUAAUAAUCACAUUUGUUAUUAUAUCACGGAAACAACUGUUUGCUAUUAGAAUAAUUUAGUAUUCAAUAAUAAAUUUUAUUGUUUUUUAAUGUAAUUUGGAGAAUUUAGAUUCGUUAAUCACCAAAGUAGUCGAAUCUUUAUUAAAAUUAAUUUCAAAAUAAUGAUUAGCUUAAAAUCAAGGCUUAAGUCAUUGCCAUGCACCUAAAGUUGUCCCGAAAAUUCACUUAGACUACUCAACUAAGACCUGUACCUAUCAGACCCCUAACCCAUCGGAAUUUGAUCCAAUCAGGCCUUUUUUCCCUCCAUGGCACUCCGCAUGAUGUUCACUCAAUAAGGGCACGUGAGACACGAUUUUUUGAAUAAAUAAUGAAUGAAAACGUGUCAAGUGGCACCGAGGGCCCAAAUUUUUUUUAAUAAAAUAAUUUUAAAAAAAAGGCUCUCCCCACCCAAUCCGAUACCCCCUCCCCCCUCUUCAUAUUCUUUUCCACUCUUCUUACUCAGUUUUUUUCUUAAACUUAAUUUACCUCCUAUUUUUUCUACCUUUUCUUCAUUUUUGUUCUUAGUUUUGAAUUUAUGUUUGAAUUCGAUUUGAAUAUUUUUGUUCUUAGUUAGAUCUUAUUCUUAAUUCUUUUUCGCCAUUAGUUUGCCGAAAUAAAUGAAACUUUGCCCGAAAAAUAAAACUUUGCCGGAUAAAAUAAAACUUUAUCGGAAAAAUGUAAAUUUUUUUUUUCAACAAAGCAACAAAUUGUAAAUUUAAUUCAAAAAAUAAAAAUGAAAAAUGCUAUUUUCAUAAAUCAAUAAGCUAUUUCAUCUUCCUCAAUCCAUUUUUAGUUUUCUCCAUUACAUUUAUUAUUGUAGAAGAGGAAUAUUUUUCAAGUAUUAGUCUGUGUGUUUAUGUAUGUAGUUCUAGUACAAAUGUUGAUAAAAGAAAAAGGGGUACUGUAAGUUGAUCUUCAGCUAAAAUUUGUCUGUAAUAAUAAAUAAUCAGCCAAACAAAGUAGACUGAUUAAUUAAAAUUCUCAUUUUUCUCCUCCUGGAAUGAAGGUGAAUUCGUCAAGUGAAGCUAGUCGAAUUCAUCUUAGAUAUUGAAUAUUUAAUAGCUUUGCUAUUAAAAAUGGAGAAGAGAAUGAAAGAGAAGGGUAGGGGCAGGGUGGGGGUGGGGUAUGUAUCGCCCUAAGCCUGGUGCUCGAAACGCUACAUAGUGCUCAUGACCUUGAAGGACAACAAGCUAACUCAUGACUGAUAUCUGUACCUAUACACUGCAUAAUAUGAUAUAAUAAUGCGGAAACAUGCACUGAAAGUCCAUAAGGUUCAAUACUAAACAUGAUCUGAAUGAUAUAACAUCUGUGAGGGGUAAUAGAAUGCUCAACACAAAACUAAACAUACUGAAGUCUGAAACAUGAUAGUCUAGAAAGCCUUUAACUAACUGAACUGUCUGAGUAAGGAGAUGAUGGGACAUGUCCCCAACUAACUCUAAUUAAUAAACUGAUUAAUGAGAUAAUAGAAAAAUAAUCAUGUUCUCGAAAGAUGAGGACUCACUUCUAACUUUGUCUGUGGAUAUAUGGAAUCUACUGUAGCUUUGAAGCUCGUGUCUCUGAACCUAUGGUAUAAGACACCAUAGGGCAAAUGUGUCAGUACUUUGAAUGUACUGGUAUGCAUGUGAGGUAGGUUGAAUGCAUGGGGUUCAUAUGCAUGAACAAUAAUAAUAACUGACUAACUAUCAUGAGCGUGAGAAUACAUGCAUGAGACAUAACAACUGACACUAAUACUGUGAUAACAUGAUUACUAAAUCUGAAUAUAACUGAUAACAUGAGUGACUGUAUCUAACAGUCCUGAAUCUGAUGGAACUAUCUGAGUUUCGUACUGUAUCUGAGUUGACUGUAUCUGACAGUCCUAAAAUUUAAAGAACUAUCUGAGUUCUAUUACUGCGACUGAUUAAUUAUAUCUGACAGUCCUGAUUCUGUAACAUGAAACUGUGGGAAGUAGUUAUCUAACCGACAUACCCCUGAUACGUCAUUAUGGCUGAGUUGGGGUCCAAUCUAUAACCCCAAUUGGAAGGGUGUCAAUACCGUUCCACUGGUAUGGACAAGCUGUGGGCGACCCUCAUCUGAUAGUGUCCCCUAUAUGAGAAUGGUGGAGCCUUAUCUGAUAGUGUUUAUCCACCUUAUCAACCCUCAUCGAACAGUGUUGAUGUCUCAAUCUAUGCUGGAUACAUAGUUCUGGAAUACAAAAAUGACUUCUAAGGAUCACACCCUCAUCUGAUAGUGUGUGUCGCCUUUCUUGGAUUCUCUCGGUGCUAAUUUCUACUCCCAUCUGAAUAAAUACUGAACAUGAUUUAAUUAAACUAGACAUAGGCUGAAUUACUGAAUUCCGUUGACUGACGGAAUACUACUGAUAUCUGACAACUGACUGAGUUCAUGAGAUCAUGGAGAUUUCUUGAGUCAUAAGACUGUCUGAAGCCUAAGGAUUUAUAGAUUGACUGAGAGUAUCGUGAAAAUAUGACAUGACUCUAGGCACACAGCUAAUGUUUCGGGUACAAGUACCCCCAGGAUUCGAUAGAAGGAAACUGACCAAGCAUAACUUACUUGAACACAUGGCUAACAUCAUAAUCCAUAAUACAUUCAUAGAAGUAUUUCAUCAAUCAUAUGAUAGGCAUAAACUUGUACAUACAUGGGGCUUUCAUGAUAUCAUGCUAGUUAGUCAUUUUUCCUUCAUCUAGGCAUUUAAUCAAACAUAUUAUAGGCAUAGUAGAUGCAAACAUCAUUGUACAAUAAAUAAACAUCAUGGUUCAAUUCUAAUUUCAUCAUUCAAGGGUUUAGUCAUAUGUUUGCAUGAAUCUAUAUCUAUAAUAAUUUAACCCACAUAAAAUUUAUCACCCAACAUGGAGUAGAAUUCAAUUUCUCAUUAUUAACAUGAACAAGAGCAGCCCAAUCAUAAAAUUCAUAGGAAAAUCCAUAAACUUGAAUUUAGAAAAGGGAUUCUUGGGCUUCAUGGACAAAAGGAGCCCAUGAAUAAAUUCUACGCAUACCUUAGUUCGUGAUUCUUGAGGAUUGACGGUGAAACCUUCUUGAAUUUAAAUCUCCAAUAUAAACCCUAGCUUGUUCUUGAGAGAAACUAGUAUAUUUUUGUGUGAAGAAUGGCUAAAUCACGUAUUAUUGGGUUUAAAUAGGGGUAGAAAAUUGACCCUUUUAACCCUUGGACACGUCUUGUGAUUUCAGUAAAAUUUUCCCAAACUAGGCCCCUGGGAGACACGGCGCUAUUGCAUCGUGUCACUGGAAAUUGACAAUUGGGAAACUGAGGGAUAGCACGAUGUAGAGCCAUCGCGUUGCCCCUUCCUUUGUGACUUGAAACUUUGGCGCACCGCGGGGGAAAUCGCGCUGAGACACUGGAAAAAGGAUAAUUCUGAAUUUGAGCCCUAGCGCAACGCGCUAUAAUAGCGGACCCCUAUUGGAAUUUCCAAAUUCAAAUUUCUCUUGUGGCACGGCGCGCCACUGACUAAAAUGGCGCUAUUUUACGAUGGGAAAUUAAAAUACGCGUAACUUCUGAUCCGGUUAUCGAAUUUGGGAAAAUCUUAUAUCGAUGGAAAGAUUAUUGAAUUUCUCACAUGAAAAAAAGUGAAGAUCUUGAAAAUUCCUCAUGGAAUAAUCAUCAUUCAAUUUAGAAGCUCAUACUAGACAUUCUUGAGAUGAAAUUAGCUAGAAAAAAGUAUGGGGUAUUAUAAUAUCUCCUCCUUGAGAACAUUCGUCCUCAAAUGAGACUGACUGAGAGGGGAGAAAAGACAACUGACAUACAUACUAAACAUGAAUAACUGGAACAUGAUCUCAUGACUGAAAUGACUGACAUGAUUGACAAGCUGAACAUAUAAUACUGAACAUGCAUAUCUGAUGCAUGUGUAACUGAUUCAUGAAUGCAUGACUGAGUGUUCUGAAGAACUAAGUUUCUCACAAUGAGAAUGCAUGUCUGAUGCAUAAUUACAUAACUAAACUGAUACAUGAGUGCAUGACUGAAUAUUCAAUGGUACUUGAUGCCAAGUUUAUAAUAGGAACAUGAGCAUGAAAAUGCAUACCAAGUUUGUGAUGAACACUGAACAUGAAACUGAGUAAGCUUAAGGAGAACUAUUACCUUAAGCUUGAUCUGAGUUGGCAAAGAAGAGGUGAGGAUACUUGAUACGCAUGUCUGCCUUUGCUUCCCAAGUAGCUCUCUCGACGGACUGAUUUCUCCAAAGAACCUUAACUAGAGGGACUUCUUUGUUCCUCAAUCUACGAGUCUGAUAGUCUAAGAUUUCGACUGAAAUCUCUUCAUAAGAAAGAUUGUUCUGAACAUCAAUGCUCUGAAUAGGGACUACAACUGAUGGAUCACCUAUACACUUCUUGAGCAAAUAGAUAUGAAAGAUUGGAUGAACUGAGGCUAGAUCUAAAGGCAAUUCAAGCUCAUAGGCUACCUUGCCAAAGCGACUGAGAAUUUUGAAGGGACCAACAUUUCGGGGACUGAGUUUUCCCUUCUUGCCAAAUAUUUUCACUCUCUUCAUGGGAGAGAUCUUUAGAUAGACAUGAUCACCAAUCUCAAACUUGAGAUCUUUUCUACGAACAUCUGUAUAAGACUUCUGUCAGCUCUGAGCAGCCUAGAGUCUUUCUCUAAUCAACUGGACUUUUUCUAAAGCAUCGAAUACCAAGUCAGGACCUAUGACUGAGGCCUCACUAACUUCGAACCAACCAAUUAGAGAUCUAUAUCUCCUAUCAUAGAGAGCUUCGAAUGGAGCCAUCUGAAUACUGGAAUGACAACUGUUGUUGUAUGCAAACUCAAUCAAAUGUAAGUGGUCAUCCCAAAUUCCCUUGAAAUCGAUUGCACACACCCUUAGCAUAUCUUUUAACAUCUGAAUGGUCCUUUCUGCUUGACCAUCUGUCUAAGGAUGAAAGGUUUUACUAAGAUGAACUUGGGUACCAAGACCCUUUUGGAAUGCUUUCCAAAAAUGAGAGGUGAACUGGGUACCUCUGUCUGAGAUAAUGGACUAUGGAACACCGUUUAAUCUGACCAACUCCUUGAUGUAGAGUUUGGCGUAAUCCUCGGCUGAAUAAAAGGUAUGAACUGGAAGAAAAUGAGCUGAUUUGGUCAUUCUGUCUACAAUGACCUAGACUGAAUCAUGCUGAUGACGAGUUUGAGGCAAACCCAUCACGAAGUCCAUGUUCACAACUUCCCACUUCUAAGUAGGAAUACUGAACUCCUGCAUGGACCCACUAGGCUUCUGAUGCUCUAUUUUAACCUGCUGAUAUAUAGAGCACUUAGCCACAAACUCUGCAACGUCUCUCUUUAUCCCACUCCACUAAUAGAUUUCCCGCAAGUCGCGGUACAUCUUUGUGGCCCCUGGAUGAAUAGGGUAGCGCGCACCAUGUGCUUUUAUAAGAAUUUGCUGCCUUAAGUCAUUUACGCCUGGAACACAGAGAUGACCCUGACAACGAAGGACACCAUCUCCCUUUUGGGAGAAAACCUCUACUUUCUGAUCCUGGACUGACUCUUUCAACUUGCAAGGCUGGGAUCUCUCUUGCUUUUCUUUCACCUCAGAAAUUAGAGAUGAUUCUGAACUACUCUAAACCCAUAUAUCACCCUCUUCUGUAUCGACUAAGCGAACGCCUAGUCUGGCAAGCUGAUGGACUUCAUGAGCUAACUUCUUCUUACUGUCCUCAACAUGAGAAACACUACCCAUGGAUCGUCUACUGAGAGCGUCGACCACUAUGUUGGCCUUGCCCAGAUGAUAAAGAACACUCAUGUCAUAAUUUUUCAAGAGCUAUAACCACCUUCUCUGAUGAAGAUUGAGAUCUUUCUGAGAAAAGACAUACUGAAGAUUUUUAUGAUCAAUGAACACAUCUACAUGAACACCGUAUAGAUAAUGACUCUAAAUCUUCAAGGCGAAGACUACAGAUGCUAAAUCAAGAUCAUGAGUAGGAUAAUUCCUCUUAUGGGGCUUAAGCUAUUUGGAGGCGUAGGCUAUGACCUUACCAUGCUGUAUGAGGACACAACCCAAACCUACUCUGGAUGUAUCACAAUACACUACAAAACCAUCUGGACCAUCUGGAAGAGCUAAUACUGGAUCUGAGGUGAGUCGAGUCUUCAACUUCUGAAAACUCUUCUCACAAGGAUCUGACCACUGAAACUUAAAUUUCUUCUGAGUCAAUCUAGACAUAGGGGAUGUAAUAGAAGAAAAUCCCUUAACAAAUCAUCGGUAAUAGCCAGCCAAACCCAAAAAACUCCUGAUAUCUGAUGGGGAGACAGGUCUAAGCCAAUUUCUUACGACUUCGAUCUUUUGAGAAUCAACUCUAAUGCUAUCACAGAAAAUGAUAUAACCAAGGAAUGCUACUUACCUUAGCCAAAACUCCCACUUACUAAAUUUGGCGAAUAGCUGAUGAUCUCUGAGAGUCUGAAGUACUAUUAUGAGAUGGUCUGCAUAAUCACGCUCACUACGAGAAUAGACCAGAAUAUCAUCUAUGAAGACUAUGAUGAACAUGUCCAAGUACUGCUUGAACACACGGUUCAUCAAGUUCAUAAAAGUUGCUGGGGUAUUGGUAAGACCAAAGGACAUAACUAAGAAUUUGAAAUGACCAUAUCGAGUACGGAAAGCUAUUUUUGAAAUUCACAUCUCUAACUCUGAGCUGAUGAUAGUCGGAUCUGAGGUCUAUCUUAGAGAAAUAACUGGCACCGUGAAGUUGAUCAAACAAGUCAUCGAUUUUUGGAAGAGGAUACUUGUUCUUGACCGUGACCUUUUUAAGUUGACGUCUACACAUAUCCUAAGAGAACCAUCUUUCUUACGCAGGAAUAAUACUAAAGCGCCCCACGGGGAAAUAUUGGGCCUGAUGAAUCCCUUAUCUAAGAGAUCCUUCAAUUAUUCUUUUAGUUCUCUGAGUUCUGCUGGUGCCAUUCUAUAUGUCGGAAUAGAUAUAGGCUGAGUAUCUGAAGAAGAUCAAUGUCGAAGUCUAUUUCCCUUUUAGGAGAAAUUCUUGAAAGAUCUUCGAGAAAGAUAUCUGAAUAUUCACCAACAACUGGAACUGAUUCAAGGUUGGGAGUUUUGGAACUAGUGUCCUUAACUCGAACAAGAUGAUGGACACAUUCUUUAGAUAACAUUUUCCAUGCCCAAAAGUAGGAAAUAAGUUGACCUUUGAACGAUGAAGUACUACCCUUCAACUCAAGGACGGGUUCAUUCAAAAACUAAAAUUGGACUAUUCUAUUUCUGCAGUCGAAUGAAGCCAAUCUAUGCUGAGAAUGACAUCAAAAUCAGUCAUCUCUAAUUCGACUAAGUCUGCUGAAGUGACUAUCUGAAAUAUCAUAACCGGGUAGUUCCUGUAUACCCACCGGGCUAUGAUGGUUUUACCUACUGGAGUAGAGACUGAAAAGGGCUCUGCUGUGAUUUCAGGAUUGAUUCUGAAAUCGCCUGCUAUAUAGGGAGUAACAAAAGACAAAGAAGCUCCUGGAUCUAGCAAAGCGUAAACUUACACAUGAAAGAUCUUUAACGUACCAGUAACUACAUCAGGAGAAUUUUCCUGAUCCUGUCGGGACUGAAGAGCAUAGAGACGAUUUGGGCGUUGCCCACUAGUAGCAUCGGUGGUAGCACUCUGCUGAUUUGGGUGAUUGGAUUGAGCUGAGGAGUGAAGAUGACUCUAAUAACCUGACUGAGGGCAGUCUCUAACUUUGUGGCCUGGCUUGCCAUAACCAAAACAGACAUCGCUACCAGUUCUGUAAGCACCCUUGUGGUUCUUACCAAAAGUCUGACAAAGGGGAUUAGUUCGGGCAUUGCUAAUACUACCCUGAGACCUAGAACUUGUCGCUCUAUCUCUGUUACCCUCCCUAAACUUAGGAACUGGAGCACUGGCUGAAGAAGGGAUAGAACUGAUGACUUAGGACGAAACUGGGAAUGGUUUCCUCCUUCUGAUUUAGGUUGAGUGAAGUUAAAACUACCUGUCUUCGCUCUCUUAUUCUACUUCUCCCUCUGCUUAAUCUUCUGCUCCUUUAUCUACUGAGCAUGAGUUAUAAGCCUGGCUAAAGUCAUGUCAUUAUUCAGCAUGGCAGAUCUGCACUCAUUUACCACGCUAUCAUUUACCCCUGAAGCGAACUUACUCAUCUUGGCUCUGUUGUCUGCAACCACAGAGGGGCAUAUCUGGCUAAUUGAGUAAACUUAAGAGAAUACUCUUUUACCAUCAUAUUGCCCUUCCUGAGGUUAAUGAAUUCUAGCACCUUAGCCUCGUUAAGAUCUUGGGAAAAGAAUCUGUCUAAGAAUACAAUGACAAACUCCUCACACUCUACAGGACCUGCAUUAUCUGACCUCUCUAACUUUCACUGUUUGAACCAAGUAUGAGCCACCUCCUAUAACUGAUAUACAGCUAGCUCAACACUCUCAACAAUAGUUACCCCCAUGAUGUCUGUCACCUUUUAAACUUGAUCAAUGAAUUCAUGAGGGUCCUCAUCUACCUUAGACCCGAGGAAGAACGGAGAAUUCAUUCGGGUGAAGUCCCGAAUCCUAGUUGUGGAUGAAUUGGCCACUGGGUUGGCCGGAAUGAAUGCUGGCCGUUCAUUUUGAGUGGAAACUAACUGAGUAAGAGUAGUGAAUGCGACCCUAAACUCCGCAUGAGAAACAUGAUCGCCCAAAGGAUCUUCGGGCUGAGAGGCUGACUGAUUUCUGUUUUUUCUUUUUAGAAGGCAUGUUCUGUAGAAAAAAGGGAGAAAUAGAUUAGACUGAGAGAUUGACUUGAGAUUAUGCUCACUAGCAUGACAUGAAUACUGAAAGAAGGGAAAAUUGUUACUAAUACAUCUUAUAGCCUCUUGCACAUAAAUAUGGCGCGCAACACACACAUGUACAAGACUCUACCUGAUGCGGUUUUCAGACUUCCUAGGACUCUAUUGAACCUUAGUAUCUGAUACCAAGUUUGUAAUGCCCCGAGCCUGGUGCUCGAAAUGCUACACAGUGCUUAUGACCCUGAAGGACCACAAGCUAACCCAUGACUGAUAUCUGUGCCUGUACACUGCAUAAUAUGAUAUAAUAAUAUAUAAACAUGCACUGAAAGGCCAUAAGGUUCAAUACUACACAUGAUUUGAAUGAUAUAACAUCUGUGAGGGGUAAUAGAAUACUCAAAACAAAACUAAACAUACCGAAGUCUGAAACAUGAUAGUCUAGAAAGUCUCUAACUGACUGAACUGUCUGAGUAAGGAGUUGAUGGGACAUGUCCCCAACUAACUCCAACUAAUAAACUGAUUAAUGAGAUAAUAGGGAAAUAAUUAUGUUCUCGAAAGAUGAGGACUCACUUCUAACUCUGUCGACGGAUAUCUGGAAUCUACUAUUGCUCUGGAGCUCGUGUAUUUGAACCUAUGAUAUAAGACACCAUAAAGCAAAUGCAUCAGUACUUUGAAUGUACUGGUAUGCAUGUGAGGUAGGCUAAAUGCAUGGGGUUUAUAUGCAUGAACAAUAAUAAUAACUGUCUAACUAUCAUGAGCGUGAGAAUACAUGCAUGAGACAUAACAACUGACACUAAUAUUAUGAUAACAUGAUUAUUGAGUCUGAAUAUAGUUGAUAACAUGAGUGACUGUAUUUGACAGUCCUAAAUCUAAUGCAACUAUCUGAUUCCGUACUGUGUCUGAGUUGACUGUAUCUGACAGUCCUGAAAUUUAAAGAACUAUCUAAGUUCUAUUACUGAGACUGAUUGACUGUAUCUGACAGUCCUGAUUCUAUAACAUGAAACUGUGGGAAGUAGUUAUCUAACUGACAUACCCCUGAUAUGCCAUUAUGAUUGAGUUGGGGUCUAAUCUGUAACCCUAAUUAAAAGAGUGUCAAUACCGCAAAACUGGUAAGGAUAAGCUAUGGGCGACCCUUAUCUGAUAGUGUUCUCUAUACCAGAAUGGUGGGGCCCUUAUCUGACAGUGCUUAUCCACCUCAUCAACCCUUAUCGGACAGUGUUGAUGUCUCAACUUAUGCUGGCUACAUAGUUCUGGAAUGCAAGGAUGACUUCUAAGGAUCACACCUUCAUCUGAUAGUGUGUGUCCCCAUCCUUGGGUUCUCUCGGUGCUAAUUUCUACUCCCAUCUGAAUAGGCACUGGACAUGAUUUAACUGAACUAGACAUGGGCUGAAUUACUGAAUUCCAUUGACUGACGAAUACUACUGAUAUCUGACAACUGAUUGAGUUCAUGAGAUUAUGAAGAUUUCCUGAGUCAUAAUACUAUCUAAAGUCUAAGGAUUCAUAGCUUGACUGAGAGUAUCGUGAAAAUAUGACAUGGCUCUAGGCACACAACUAAUGUUUCGGGUACAAGUACCCCCAGGACUCGAUAGAAGAAAACUGACCAAGCAUAACUUACUUGAACACAUGGCUAACAUCAUAAUCCAUAAUACAUUCAUAGAAGCAUUUCAUCAAUCAUGUGAUAGGCAUAAACUUGUACAUACAUGGGGAUUUCAUGAUAUCAUGCUAGUUAGGCACUUUUCCUUCAUCUAGGCAUUUGAUCAAACAUAUUGUAGGCAUAGUACAUGCAAACAUCACUGUACAAUAAAUAAACAUCAUGGUUCAAUUCUAAUUUCAUCAUUCAAGGGUUUAGUCAUAGGUUUGCAUGAAUCUAUAUCUAUAAUAAUUUAACCCACAUAAAAUUUAUCAUCCAGCAUGGAGUAGAAUUUAAUUUCUCAUUAUUAACAUGAACAAGAACAGUCCAAUCAUGAAAUUCUUAGGAAAAUCCAUAAACUUGAAUUUAGAAAGUGGAUUUUUGAGCUUCAUGGAUGAAAGGAGUCCAUGAAUGAACACUAUGCAUACCUUAGUUUGUGAUUUCGUGAGGAUUGACGGUGAAACCUUCUUGAAUUUGAAUCCCCAAUAUAAAUUCUGGAUUAUUCUUGAAAGAAACUAGUAUAUUUUUGGGUGAAGAAUGGCUACAUCAUGUGUUAUUGGGUUUAAAUAGGGGUAGGAAAUUGAUCAUUUUAACCCUUGAACGCAUCUUGUAAUUUGAGUAAAAUAUUAUCAAAUUGGGCCCUUGGCGCGACGCGGCGCUAUCGCGUCGUGUCACUGGAAAUUGACAAUUGGGAAACUGAGGGAUGGCGUGAUACAGAGCCAUCGCGUUGCCGCUUCCUUGUGACCUGGAACUUUGGCGCGGCGCGGGAGAAAUCGAGCUGAGACACUGGAAAAAGGAAAAUUCUGAAUUUGAGCCCUGGCACGAUGCGCCAUAAUCGCGGACCCCUACUGGAAUUUGUCAAAUGCCACUUCCUCUUGUGGCGCGGUGCACCACUGACUAAUAUGGCAUUGUUUUACGACGGGAACUUGAAAUAGUCAUAACUUCUGACUCAGUUAUCAUAUUUGGGAAAAUUUUAUAUCGAUGGAAAGCUUAUUGAAUUUUUCACAUGGAUAAAAAUAAAAACCUUGAAAAUUCCUCAUGGAAUAAUCAUCAUUCAAUUUAGAAGCUAAUACUAGACAUUCUUGAGAUAAAAUUAGCUAGGAAAAAGUACGGGGUAUUACAGGGUAGGGGGAAUCAGUUUUUUACUUGGGGUGUGGAUGAAGAAAACAAUAAUCUUGGGGGUGGGGGUGGNNNNNNNNNNNNNNNNNNNNNNNNNNNNNNNNNNNNNNNNNNNNNNNNNUACUCUUUUUUUUUUUUUUUUUAAUUUUAAAAUAAUUUUCUUUUUCUAUUGUUGAGGAGUAUAAAAUAAUUUUUGCACCCACACGACAAGUUUCAUUAUUUAAUUGGAUUUUUAACUUAUAGUUUUUUUAAAAAAAAAUCAUUUGCGACGUGUCUUUUCCGUAUUGGUGAUUUUUGCCACAUUAGGCGAGUGUGUUACACACACUCUAUAAUUUUGUUGAUUGUCCAAAUAAGGCCUGAUUGGAUCAAAAUUCCGGUGGGUUAGGGGCCUGAUAGGUACAGGCCUUAAUUGAGGGGUUCAAGUGAAUUUUCGGGACAACAUUAAUCUUGAUGCUUAUAACCAAUAUAACAAUUAUCGGUAAAUUGAAGUUUUUGAUUAUAAAACAUUUAUAUAUCACCCAAAGGUUGAUUAUUUGUUCUUAUAACCAAUAAAUAUUAAAGAUAUAAUUUAGAUGUAUCGUUAGUUUUAUUUAUUUAUCCAAAGAUAAUAAAUAUUAUUAAUAGAUGCAUUAAAUAUUAUCGAUUUACGUUAAAUACACUUUUAAACAUCAUUAUGUUUAAAGUUGUAUUUUGAUGUUUCCCCCCCCAAAAGAACAUCAAUAUACAUUUAAGAAAGUAAAUUAUUUCUGAAUUUGAUAAUAUGUUUAAACUCAUAACUCAAAGUAUUAACAAUUAGCAUGUUCUACUUGUAGCAUUUGCUCUUCAUUCCCACUCUGCCUCUGUUAUAGUUUUUAACAGACUUAAUUUUUCAGAUUGGUGCGAAUAGAUCAAAUUUCAUCUUGGGGUUUUAGAUUUUGAUGUUGCACUUUACUCUGAGAAACCAACUGCUAUUAUUGAAACUAGCAGUGAUGAAAAAAAGUCCUAUUAUAAGCAUUGAGAUUGGUCUAACAGAUUAGGCCUAAUGUUCAUACGAAUGAAUAUUGCGGGCAACAUUAACGCUACCCUUCUCAAAACUAAAAAUGCAAAAGAACUUUUGAAACUUGUAGAAGAAUCCUUUCAACCCGUUAAUAAGUCUCUUGCUGGGACAUUAAUGGGUACUUUGACCACCAUGAAGUUUGAUGUUUCAUGUACUAUGCAUGAGCAUGUCAUUGAAAUAACAAAUAUAGCAGCAAGACUUAAGUCUUUGGGAAUAGAAGUGGAACAAAAGUUUCUUGUGCAAUUCAUCAUCAACUCAUUACCGUCUGAGUAUGGUCCUUUUCAAAUGAAUUACAACAUCAUGAAAAACAGAUGAAACGUACAUGAAUUGCAUGGUAUGCUGGUUCAAGAGGAAACGAGGCUGAAGAAUCAAGGAACCUACUCCAUUAACUUUUUAAAUCAUCAAGGAGCUGAAAAGAAAGAAAAGAAACAUAGUAAGGAAAAACAGAAGCAACUUAAUGUUAAUAAAUCCUCAUCUCAAGUACGUAAGAAGGGAAACAAUAAUGGUAAGUGUCAUUUCUGUGAAAAAUCUGGACACUUUCAAAAAAAUUUCCUAAAAUAUAAGGCAUGUUUUAAGAAAAAAGGUAAGACUAAUGAUUUUACAUGUCUCGAAUCAAAUUUAACUGAAGUUCCUUAAAAUACUUGGUGGCUUGACUCUGGUUGUACUGUUCAUGUUUCUAAUACUAUGCAGGGAUUUCUUACAAUUCAGACCAUAAAUAAGAAUGAAAGAUAUAUGCAUAUGGGGAAUAGAGUGAAGGCUCCAAUUGAAGCUGUUGGAACUUAUUGUCUGAUUCUCUAUACUGGGAGUCACUUCGAUUUACUUGAAACUUGCUAUGUUCCUUCUAUUUUAAGAAAUUUAGUUUCUUUGACUAAGUUAGAUAAGACUGAAUACUCUUUUAAUUUCGGUAACUGAUGUUUUAGUUUGUUUAAACAUAAUUAUUUCAUUGGUACUGGUACUCUUUGUGAUAACUUAUACAAACUGAAUCUUGAUAAUCUGUUGCCGAAACACUCUUAACUCUGUAUCAUAAUGUUGGAACCAAAUGAAGUUUGAUGAAUGAACAAUCUGCUUACUUUUGGCAUAAAUGUUUAGGUCACACAUCUAAGAAAAGACUGGAAAGAUUAGUUAAGAAUGGAAUUCUUUUAAAUUUGGAUUUUACUGACCUUGAUAUUUAUGUAGAUUGUAUUAAAGGAAAACAAACAAGACACACAAAAAAAAGAUAUUUUAUACACACAGCUUCUUGAAAUUAUACACACUAAUAUAUGUGGUUCUUUUGAUAUCACAUCUUUUAAUAAAAAGAUAUUUUAUCACUUUUAUUGAUGACUUUUCACAUUAUGAAUAUGUCUAUUUAUUGCAUGAAAAAUGUCAAGUGAUUAAUGUCUUAGAGGUAUUUAUUACUGAGGUUGAAAGGCAACUAGACAGAAAGGUGAAAAUAACCAGGUCUGAUAGAGGUGGUGAGUAUUAUGAAAGAUAUGAUAAAACAAUACAAAACCCAAGUCUAUUUGCUAAAUUUCUCAAAAAAAUGUGACAUAUGUGCUCAAUACACAAUGCUUGACACAUCACAACAAAAUGGCAUGGCAAAAAGACGUAAUCGUACAUUAAUGGAUAUAGUUAUGAGUAUGUUAAGUAAUUCAUCUUUACCUCUUUCAUUAUGGAUGUAUGCUUUAAGGACUGUCAUUUACUUGCUAAAUAGGGUUCCUAGUAAAGCAGUUUCAAAAACACCUUUUGAAUUGUGGAAUGGUAGGAAACCUAGUUUGAGGCACUUGUAUGUUUAGGAUUGCCUGACAGAAGUUAGAGUCUACAAUUCACAAGAAAAAAAAUUGACUUCAAGAACAAUCAGUGGUUUCUUCAUUGGUUAUCCAAAAAAAUUAAAGGGCUAUAGAUUUUACUGUCCUAAUCAUAGUACGGAAAUAGUUGAAACUGAAAAUACUAGGUUCAUUGAGAAUGACGAAGUUAGUGGGAGUGAAGAACCACGUAAUGUGAAAAUUACAGAAGUUAGGGUGCGAAUUUCUCUACCCUAUACUUCUUUUAAAUUUGUUGUUCUUGAAGCUAUUGUAUAACAAAGUAAUCAACAAGAACAAUAAAUUAAUGCUCCUACUAAUCAUAAUGAAGCCAUAAUUGAUGAACCUACAGUAGAUGAACCACAAGAAGUAGCAUCAAGAAGAUCUCAAAGACAAAGAAAAUCUAUUAUUUCAGAUGAUUAUUUAGUAUAUCUACAUGAGUCAGAAACUGACUUAGGAAUUGAUAAUAAUCCUUCUUUAUUUUCACAAGCCAUUGAAAGUAACAAUUCUGAUAAAUGGAUAAAUGUUAUGAAAGAUGAGUUAAAAUCUAUGAAACAGAAUGAGUUUGGGACCUUGUUGAAUUACCCGAAGGUUGCAAAAGAGUUGGGUGUAAAUGGGUCUUUAAGACCAAAUGCGACUCAACUGACAAUAUCGAACAUCACAAGACCAAACUUGUUGUCAAAGGUUCCACUCAAAAGGAUGACAUUGAAUAUAAGGAGACAUUUACACCUGUCUCUAGAAAAGAUUCACUCAGAAUUAUAAUGGCUUUGGUAGCUCAUUAUGACUUAGAGCUACAUCAAAUAAAUGUGAAAACAACCUUUCUAAAUGAAAAUUUGGAGGAAAAAAUUUAUAUGAAUCAACCUGAGAGAUUUUCUAUUAAAGGAAAGUAACACAUGGUGUAUAAGCUUAAGAAGUCAAUAUACAAACUUAAGCAAGCUUCCCGACAAUGGUAUCUUAAGUUUAAUGAAACGAUUGACACUUUUGGAUUUAAAGAAAACACUGUUGAUCAGUGUAUAUAUUUGAAGGUCAGUGGGAUUAAGUUUAUUAUGUUAGUCUUGUAUGUUGAUGACAUCUUGCUUGUUACUAAUGAUCAUGAUUUUUUGCACGAUAUCAAGAAAUAUCUCUCUAACAACUUUGAAAUGAAAGAUAUAGGAGAGACAUCCUAUAUGAUUGGAAAAGAAAUAUUUUGAGAUAGAUCACAAGAAUUGUUGAGAUUGUCUCAGAAAAUCUGUAUUAAUGAAGUAUUAGAGAGAUUUAGAAUGAAAAAAAUGCUCAUUAAGUCCCGUUUCAAUUCAGAGAGGAGAUAAGUUUAAUCUCAAUCAAUGUCCAAAAAAUGACUUGAAACAAAAACAAAUGAAAGAUAUUCCUUAUGCAUCAAUAGUUGUGAGUCUAAUUAUGCCCAGACAUGUACAAGAUUAGACAUCAGUUUCGCUGUUGGGACGAUGGACCGAUAUCAAAGUAAUCCUGGAAUGGAUUACUGGAAAUCUACAAAGAUGGUGUUGCGAUACUUACAAAAAACAAAAGAUCAUAUGCUCACUUAUAGAAGAUUUAAUCAUCUUGAUGUAGUUGGAUAUUCAUAUUCAGAUUAUGCUGGUUGUGUGGAUACAAGAAAAUCCACAUUUGGAUAUUUGUUUCUAUUAGCUGAAUGAGCAAUACCAUGAAAGAGUGCGAAGUAGUCUGUUAUAGAUGCAUCCACUAUGAAAGCUGAAUUUGUGGUAUGCUUUGAGGCCAUAGUCUAGGCUAAUUGGCUACGAAACUUUAUUUCAGGACUUAAACUAGUCAACAAUAUAAUCUGUCCGCUGAAAAUUUAUUGUGAUAGUACCACCACAGUUUUCUUCUCUAAAAAUGACAAGUAUUCAAAAUGUGCUAAGCAUAUGGAAUUGAAAUACUUUUCGGUUAAAGAAGAAGUCUAGAAACAUAACGUGUCAAUUGAACAUAUUAGCACCAAUCUUAUGAUUGCUGAUCCUUUGACGAAAGAAUUACCGCCCAAAAUAUUUGUUGAACAUAUUGAAAGAAUGAGCCUUAUUGAUAGCAAUGAAUGACUUUGUGUAAAGACUUUAUUAUGUUUAUGUAAUUGACACUUUGAGCUCAAAAUUAUGUAUGUUUAUGUUGUUACCUGUUUUCUCUUGUAUACAUAAUAUUGUGAAUGAUGAUGACAAGUUUUGACUUAGAUAAAAUAUUUUAAGUAUUAUCGUUGGACCCAUUAUGUAUUUGAAAGGUUAUGUUAGGUAAUAGACUCAUAUUGUAAUAUAUGGAAGAAAUUAUGACAAGUAAAGUGAUGUACAAUCGCUAUGGCUCAUUUUAGUUAAUUUAUUUAACAAUGACAAAUAAUGUUGGAUUUAACAUUAAUUGUGUACAUGAUUGACAUAUUUAUUAAACUACUAAAUUAAUAAUUGUGUGUGCCAAGUGGAAGAAUGUAAUUUUUUUAUGGCCCACAUAAGUAAUUUAUUUUGAUUUAAUAAUUAAAUAAGUUAAAUCCUAAAUCUGUCUAGGGAAGUUACCUAGUGGGAUUAAAACUACUAUAUCCACAACUCACAUUGAUGAAACAUGAAAAUAUAACUAUUUUAUUCUCCAUAUUAUAAAAAGGAGUCCUCUGUCUGCCAAAAAGAAGAGUAAGUUCCAUCAAAAUUAUUCUGAAACGUAAGGUAAAGAGAGAGAAACAACACUUUUGUUCUUGAUUUAAGAACAAAAGAAAAUAAGUGCUUCCGCUAAUAUCAGUCAAGAAGAAAAACAAUUAGGGGUGGGCGCUCGGUAUUCGGUUUGGUAUUUUUAAAGUUCGGGUUCGGUAAUUCGGUAAUCGGUAUUUGAACAUAGAUAUCAUAUAUCAUACUUAUAAACAUUGGUUCGGUAAUUCGGUAAUCGGUAAAUUAAACUUUGGUUUGAUACGGUAUUUGAUAAUACCAUAUUAAAGUUGGAGAUGUGCAAAUGUACGUUUAAACUUUAAAUAAUAUUUAAUAGAAACCCUAUUUAGUAUUUUUUUGUUACUUUUUACGAAUAUAUUACCAAGGUCCAAGAGAUUCUUUUGGAUGACUAAUACACCUCUCUCUCUCUCUCUCUCUCUCUAUAUAUAUAUAUAAUAUCAAUUACCAAAUUUUUUGGUUCGGUUCGGUUCGGUAAUUCGAAUUUUGGUAUAUUAUACCCAGUUCUAAAAACAAUGGAGAAUUCAGAUAUGUAUUCUUCAAUGAAUUACUGUAAUUUGGUUUAUGUGAAAAUCAUGUAGUUCCACGUUCCUGAACAAUUAGUAGAAUUAUAUAUUACAUUGUUUAAGUUAUACAAUCUGUUAAAUCCUUACAAUAUCUUUUCAAAUUUAAUUCGUAUGCUUAAAUAGUUUCUGGAAUAGUUUUAUUAUUUAUAAAUAAAAGUUACAAACUUCGCCCAAGUUUGAAUACCAAAGGACAAAAAGAACACUACUUGAUUUCUCAUUUAUUCUAGCCUUAGAUAGAGUUGUUUGAUACAUGUUGUUAGUAGAAAGUGACAUGUAUCUCUUAGUCGAGGUGCACGUAAGUUGGUCCGAACACUAUAAUUAUAAAAAAAGAUAGGUAUAAUAUAUAAAUGUGCCCUUUAACUUAGCCUCAGCUGACAUCUAUGCCUUCCAACUUUAGAUGUGCAUGAGUAUACACAUAAAUUAUCAUAAAGUUGAACAGAUACACACACGUUCUACAUGAAAAUCGUGUAAGAUAUACGACAAGCGUCCUAUAUGGACACAUUCUACAUGUCAAAUCACGUAGCAAUUGCCAUGUAUACUAAUUUAAAUGCCUACUAAUGCAUAACAAAAUUGGAAGGCAAGGAUGACAGCUGAGACCAAUUUAAAAGAUACGCUUAUAUGAUGCCAAAAAAUUAACAUUAUAACUUGGGCUAUCACUUAAAUAAUGGUCCCAAAUUGGCUACAUAUGCAAUUUUCCUCAAAUUCACGUAGUUUAAGGUCUCUAUAACGACACGAAAGACCGAUUCGUCCUAUUGGCACUUUGCAGCAAUAGAAAAAGGUUAACAAAUCUUAUCUACUUUCUUCGCUCUCCAUAAAUUUCACUGCUUCCAAAAAUUAAAACCCUAAAAAUUCUCUUUUAUUCCUUUUUCCUAUUAAAUUAAUUGCAUCUAUAGCAAUGCAAUUUCUCAAUUAGCAUUUUUUACGAAGCAAAUUUUCUACCAAAAUAAUUUUUUUUGUUUAAUUUUUACAUAAAUUACGUGUAUUGACAUAUAUUUUUUUUUAUUAAGAGAUCAAUAAUAAUUUGGGAUUUAUUGUAUUGUUUUUGCUUAGAUUUGUGUUAAUUUGUUUCUGUUUCUAACCAAUUUGUGCUUUUGUUUCUGGGAUUAGGGUUUUCUCUCGUUUCUCUGUUGUGGAAUUAGGGUUUUCACCAUCUUUUUGAUUGAAAGUUUCGGCUUUUAGUGAUUAUUUUGCACUGGUAAGUACCCAUUUAAUUAAUUAUCUGUCUUUUUAAUUUUUCAAUUUUGUUAGAACAAAAUGUUGAAAUGUUGGGAGCUGGAUAGGAAGGAAAGAAUUAUUUUUAGUAUAAAGUUUUGUAAUUGGGCUAAAAUUGAAAGCAAGAAAGACAUGGGGGUUCAAAAUAUUUGUACUUGUCAUUUUUUUAUUUGGGGGACUAAGAUCUACCUACUUAAUAUUGCAGUUGUGCUUGUCAUUAUGGAUUCUUUUGUUCAUAGCAUUAGUAAGACUGUGACACCCCAAAUUAGGAUAAGAAGUCCCACAUAGGCAUAACACAUGUGAGAUUUUGGGUAUAUAAGUAAACAAGCCUUACUCCCCGGUGACGAGUUUUAAAGCCGUGCAGUAUUAGGCCUAGAGCGGACAAUAUGACUAGAGGACUGGGCCAUUAAAAAUGGUAUCAGAGUCAUUCGUGUCAACCUUGUCAAUAUGGCCAGCGUUCAAACUGGGUUUAGGCAAAUCCUGGUAAGUUGGGGCAAACCUCAAUCCUAAGUCUAGGAAAAUUCUAUGGGAUGGGGCAGGCCUUGGUAAGGCGGGGCAAACCUCAGUCCCGAGUCUACGCAAAUUCCGUGCGGUGGGGUAAACCUUAGCGAGGAUGCUGAGUCCAUAAGAGGGGGUGUAUAUGAGGGGGCGUAUUGGAUACCCCUACUUAGGAUAAGAAGUCCCACAUCGGCAAAACAUAGGGGAGGUUAGUAAGAAGGCCUUACGUCCUAGUGAUGCGUUUUAAAGCUAUGCAGGCCUUGGCCCAGAGCGGACAAUAUCACUAGUGGGUUGGGCCAUCACAAAGACCACGUCUUUGUUGUAUGAUUUCUGUUUUAGUUUUUUUUUUAAUUGACUUAAGUUCCACAUGUAGUCGUUUUCUUAAGAUGUUUACACAUUAUGCUGGAUUUCCAUUUCUUGAGUGCAUUUUGUUGAGUAAAUAAAAAUGCUGAUUGAUUGCUUAAACCUCUAAUGAAAAAAAAAAAACCCAUGAGCAAAAGCUCCUGUCAUGAUGAAUCCUGCAAUAUAUUGGCGGUAUAUUGCUUUUUCUGUCUACUAAGGCCUAGAUAUUUGGUUACCACCUAUGUAGGCGUGGAAAAGCACUUUGCGUUUUCUGCAUGAGAAGAGCUUGUAUUGAUGUUUAAAUAUGGGGAUCGCAGCAGAAUAUUAAUAUUAAAAAAUGCUGAUAACCAACAUAACACCACAUACUUCAAAUAAGGCACUAUAGAAUGUGAUAAAAAGGAAAAAAAAGCAAUUGACAUAUCCCAACAACAGCACGACCCAGUACAGUCACAAAAAUUUAUUGGCUUAUAUAUUUUGCGAGGUUCGGUACAUAUGCAGUAGCUUUAAUGUUUGCCAGGAGUCUUUUGCCAUCAGAAAACUACAUCUUUGCAAGUACAUUGGUAUUAUCUCUGCAUGUCAAUUUAGAUUUCAUCACACAGGGUGGUCCCUUUUUUGUGUUAGGAUGGAAAGAUAAAUAUGUGAUGUAGGUUGUAGUUGAUUGGGGAUCACCGUGUGUUGUUACAAAUAAGGUGGAAGUAUUAGGAUACAUAAGAUAGAUAUGGACAUCUGUCAUAUCCACUACAAAUAUGCAUUUAUUUGAAACCUGUCAUGCAUAGUUGAAAUUUUGAUAUAGCUGAGGGACGGCUCAUCUUCACUAAUGGGAAAAAAGAGGAAAACAUCUGCAUACAAGUGCUUUGUCUUUCUGCAUUUUGAGCUCCAUUAGUUUUAUACAUCUAUGUGACUUUUAGGUUUGUCAAAGUGAUUUUUUCACUUGGUGGCUAAGAUGUUGGAUUACCCUGUGCUCGAUAAUCGUCCAAUUAAUAAAUGGAAAGUAGCAGAAUUAAAGGAAGAGCUUAAGAGGAGGAACUUAGCAACUAAAGGUUUGAAGGAUGAUCUGGUUAGGCGAUUAAAUGAAGCUAUCUGUGAAGAAAUAGAAGCUGCGGAGGUUGAAGAGAGUAAAGAUGAUGAUAAUGCCAUUGAUCCUGCUAGUGGUUUUGAAGAUACUGAACCAGAGCCGGAUCCUGUUAAAUUGGUCAAUGAUUUCCUGGAGCAUCCCCAAAGUGAAGUUUCUAAGGGUUCUGAUCAUAAUACUGAUUCUGCCUAUGGUCUUGAAGACGCUCAACCAAAUAAUAAUCCUGCUAAAUUGGUUGAUAAUCUUCAGACACAACACCAAGAUGAAGUUAACGAUAUUGACGGUGAUUUUGCUAGGGCCAGCACCAAGAAUUGUCUUGUUGAAACAGACCAGAACAAAGUCUUUGAUGAGGUUGCAACUGGAGGUACUGGUGAUGCUGCUGGAGAACCAAAACAUUCGGAGGCACCUGUUGGUAGCACUAGUGUUAUAAAUGUUAUUGCAUCUGAUGUGCUUGCAUCUACUGAUGAAUUUAUUGAAGACAAACUUGAUAAGGAACACAAGGUUAUUGAUUCUUCUCAGGAUAAAGAUGUUGAUGAGGUAUCUAAUGUUGGGGAUGGUUCUAUUCCAGGCAGUGGCAAUAGACAGGAUGUUGAGGAUAUGAAAAUUUCAUCUUCUGAGGGAGUUCUUGAGGACAACCUUAGGAGACAAGAAAAUGAUGUGGAGGUAACCCCAGUAACACCCCAGGAAGCCUUGAAAAACAACAGCAUUAAGUUGGAUAAUGAGGGUCUGAAACUCUCAGGCAUGGAUGCUGAGCCAGAUAUGUCCAAUCCAGCCACUCAGGUAUAUGAGGUUGACCCUAAUUUAGGGUCUCAAGUAAAAUCUGACUCAUUUUCUACUGAUACUUUGCCCAUUAAUGAAAAUAAAGAUUUAAAUGAUAAUUUGAAUGCUGAUAAUGUCAAAUUAGAAACUGAAGUUGUUAGGCAAGAGAUGGAGCUGCAGUCAUCCAGCAAAGACCUAUCAGGUGUUGGUAGCUCUCAUCCAUUGGAUGUUCAGAUGCCACAUGAGAUGCAGGGUCUUGUUGGAGAAACUGACGACGACAGAUCUUCAGAUGUGAAAUUUAGCAUGAAAAAUGACAAUGCAGAUCAGGUUUCUGUUGACGUUUCCAAGGUAGAGCAUGGUUUGGAUAGUAAAACUUCAAAUAAUAGUGAGCAAACUGAUAUACAGUUUGAAAAAGCUAGAACUUUGAGUGAUGUUAUAGAGCCUAGUUUGUCACCAAAUAAAGUUGAGGCAUAUGCCGAAGAUAAACAUGGUCUUGCUGCUUCUGGCGAUGAUAGAAAAGGUAAGACAACACCUCCUCCCACUAAAAAUGAAUGUUAUCUUCUUUCCUAAGACCGGUUCUUCUAGAUCUUCUGUGUGUUGUGUCUUUGCUUGCAGAAUUUAGCAAGAUAACCGAUAUAGUGGAUGGUGAGAAUAUGGAAAAGAUAAACCUGGAUCAGUCUUCAGCUGAUGAUUCCAUGGAAGAGGAUGUAGUAGAGACAAAACAUGCGGAUUUUGAUCAUAUUUCUAAGAAGGAGAAUGAUAAGACUGAAGAGUCUAUUACGGGAAUGGCAGAAGAGCCCAAAGUUCCACCAGGUGGUUCUUCUGAUGCAAUGCAGUUAGACAUUCCUUCUGAGAGGGUUGUGUUUCUUCAAGAAACUAAUGUUAAGUCUCUUGAUUUGUCAGAGAAGAGAAAAUUUCAAGGUACUCAUGUUCUUUCUUUAAUUCUCUCUUUCCCAAAAAAUUCCCUCUUUUUUUUUGCUAUAAAUUCUCUCUUCCUUCUGUUCUACAACAACAAUAACAACAACAAACCCAGUGUAUUAUUCUACAUAUGUUUAUAUUACUUUUUCUUUUUCACUGUUACAAUCUUAUUCUUAGGACUUAUUGCUUAUCAGGAAAAGAAUAUCAGAGUUCGCUGUUCGUUGCUUAUGUAUUCUUUGAAUUGAUUUCACGAAGCUUAAUAUGGUGAAACUUGUGUAUUUUUGUAGAUGGUAAAGUCCUUAUUGUUACUAUGUUCAUUAUUUUUGUUUCUCUUGUGAACACUCAAACUUUUGAUUAGAUCACAUUUUUUACUAGAAUAUAGCCAUGCAAAUCCCUAGUUUUCCACUGUUAAAGUUGAAAUUCAUAAUUGGAAAGCAGCUAAAGUUUUGCUUAAAAAGUGUUUGUAUGAUGACAUUACCGAUACCAAUUGCAGAUACUAGAUUCUUCUUGCAAUUUGGGAUAUGAAGCCCUCUUCGUUUACAUUAAGUUUGGAUAAUUAUUGUGAUAAUGGGAAUGAACAAAAAUAUGAUUUUUUCUUUUCUUGUUCUAUAAUUCGGUUUCAUGGGAUUGACUUCUUGUGGAUUCUUUGUAGAAGAAGCAGGAGGUGGGAGUACAGAGCCUGCAAAAAGGCAGCGUAGGUGGAACACUGAGAGUGUGAAAACUGCUGAACCCCAAGAUUUAAGUAGUGCUUUAUCAAAGAAGGUUGUUCAGCCCAGCCUUAUCAAACCCAUCCUUGGCAGGACUAACUCUACAGUUGGUGGGGAUUCACCCAAGGAGCGCUCUGGUGAGUAUUUGUUUCUUGGUAAUGCAUGAGCUUCAAAUGCUAUAAUAGCGACACAGGAAUAAUUGGUUCUAAUGUUCUGUUAAUAUUCCAGUACCGAAGUCUUCAAGAACAGCCACUACUUCUCUUAAAAUUGAGAAUUUUGUGCGGCCUUUUACGUUGAAAGCUGUGCAAGAGCUCCUUGCAAGAACUGGUAAAGUCUGCAGCUUCUGGAUGGACCAGAUAAAGACCCAUUGCUAUGUCACGGUAUAAUCUUGCUCUGAUCUCCUAUUGCAUUUCAUUCUUCUCUCAGUGCAUAUGGUCAUUGAGUUUCUCUAUUUUAAAUUAUAUUUGCAAGGAAGCAUUAGUAGCCUGAUUGGCUGGCUACUCUUAGGAAGGCACAGGGUUGGGGACAGUUGUCGCACAGGGUUGGGGACAGUUGUCAUGGGGUUGGGCUUGAUUUGAAACCUUGAUGCUGCACCGGUCGGCCUAAGUCCCUCUUGUCGAUUUGUCAUAAUGUAGCAUGUGAAUGUGCAUCCUUGACCUUCAGAGGUGCAUAACCAAAUAACAAUGUCUUGCAUGACUUGGUUUCUGGGCAAUACUCUCUAGAACUAGUUAGAAAGGUCUAUUUUUAUGGUGUUUCUUUCUGUAGUGGAUCAGGGUAAUAAAUUGAUAAAUGUUCUCUUUACAGUAUUCUUCAGUAGAAGAAGCCACAGAGACCCGAAAUGCUGUGUACAAUCUCCAAUGGCCACCAAAUGGAGGUCGUCUUCUGGUUGCAGAUUUUGUUGAUCCCCAACAGGUGCAAACCAAGAUAGAAGGUAAGGAACCUGCUUCUCCACCGAAAAUUACCAAUCCUGCUGUGCCUCCAGCUUCAUCCUCUGUUCAACCACCACCUACUCAGCAGCAGGGUCGCAAACAGCAAGCUGAGUCAGAACAUCCACCGACACUCCAGCCACCACCUCCUCCUCCUCGGGCUCCUCCAGCAAAUGAGAUGCUGCCUUCACCUGUUGCUGAUAAAAAUGAUCCCCCCAUUGUGACUUUGGAUGACCUCUUCAGAAAGACCAAAGCCACUCCCCGUAUCUAUUAUUUACCGCUGACAGAUGAAGAAGUUGCUAAAAAGCUUGCGAUUAGGCGAAAUGGUAAGCACUAGAGA
rnacentral:lncRNA from 1 species